rnacentral:lncRNA from 1 species
UUGAACUGGGUUUUGUUUUGCACGUUAAAUCUGGGUUCUGAGUGAGAGGAUGAAUAAUUUACAUGGCUGGUUUUUGUUAUUCUCUCCUUCUUUCUUCUUAGUUUAGAUUAGGUUUAUUUUCUGGUUAGGUUUAUUUUCAUAUUAGGUUAGGUUUUUUUUUAGAUUAGAUUAGGUUUUUUUUUAAUAAUAUGAGUUGGUUUUUUAUUAAGUUUUUAAUUUUUUUUUCUGAUUAUAUUAUUGAGUUGGAAUUAAAAAUAUUUUUUUAAUUAAAAAAAAUUAUAAAAGCCACGUGGAAUUGAUGAUUGGGAUAAAAUUGAAUGCUGACACACUUUAGCCUUAAUUGAAUUAAAAAAAAAAUUCUAGGGACCCAAUUUAAUGCAAAAAUUUUCUAAACCCUGAAUUUGAUUCUCUUUACAAAUUAGACGGUUAAUUUUAUUUUCAAUCACAUUAUUGCUAUAUAUCAACUCAAGUCAAGUGGUGUUAUUUUGCCCAAAAACUAACAACAAAAAUCGCUUUCAGCAGACAUGGCAGUGGGCCCCACUCCAACUGAUUCUUCUGUUUGUUUCCUCAGCAUUCAAUGAAACAAAGAACCUUACAGAAACAAACUCAGUCUGAUUCCUAAAACGCUUUUACGUCCACACGACCACACCAAUCUCACUCUCUAAUUUUCUCUCUCACGUGUUUUUUUCUUUUCUUUUCUCUCCAUUUUCUUUUCUCCCCAUUUUCUUCUUCUCUUUCCAUGGAGGAUGAUGAAGCUUUUCCCUUAAUCCACCACUGCGAUUCACCCUUCUUCCCUUCUUCCAAAUCCUUCAACGAUGUCACCACCUUGCACCAACCACCGCCCCCACGACCUCGCAAACCAGAGAUUCAAUCCUCCACUUCUGAACCAUUUCCUCCGCCGAAGUUGAAGAAGAAGCUCAGUCGCUGCAAAACCGCACCUGCUUUGUUCGUCAUGCGAGACCUCAAACCCAAACCACCUGAACUUCCCAAACCCCAAACCAGUUCCAUAAUCAGACAAGGAAUCUGGUUGCUCAUUCUUUACCUCUCUGUUGGAGUUGCCAUAUACUCCUUCAACAGAGACCGUUUUUCUGGGAUUGAAACUCACCCUGUUGUUGAUGCCCUUUACUUUUGCAUAGUCACCAUGUGCACUAUAGGUUAUGGGGAUAUAGCUCCAUUGACCCCAGUCACAAAGGUCUUUGCCUGCGUUUUUGUGUUGGUAGGGUUUGGAUUCAUAGACAUACUCCUUAGUGGGCUUGUCAAUUUUGUCCUUGAUUUGCAGGAACAUGUCAUCCUCACUGGGCUUCAGAUGGGUGGGAGGGCGGGUUUCUCGGCGAGGGAUUACAUUGUUGAUGUGGCCAAAGGGAGGAUGAGGAUCAGGUUGAAGGUUGGUUUGGCACUUGGUGUGGUGGUUUUGUGUAUUGGGAUUGGGUGUUUGGUGCUGUAUUUUGUGGAGGGUUUGGAUUGGGUUGAUUCUAUUUAUUUGUCUGUCAUGUCUGUUACUACGGUUGGGUAUGGGGAUAGAGCCUUCAAGACGCUUCCGGGGCGGUUGUUCGCCGCGGUUUGGCUCCUGUUUUCUACAUUGAUGGUGGCAAGGGCUUUCCUCUAUUUGGCUGAGGCUAGAAUCGAUAAGAGGCACCGGAGAAUGGCGAAGAAUGUGCUGCAGAGAGAUAUCACUGUUGAGGAUUUGAUUGCUGCUGAUAUCAACCACACUGGUUUUAUCAGGUAUGUGAAUGUGACUAACUAACACUUGUUCAUUUUAGGUUCAAUACAUUUUUCUUAUCUAGUUAGCAAUCUAUAGGUUGUGAUAACCAUGUUAGUUUACACUGCCUAUGUUUACUGAUAAGUGAGCACUCAGCACUAAAUAGUGUGUUGACUAUUGAGUGAAGCACCCUGAGAGUUCUGAGAACCACAAAUUAGUAAGAGAUUGCCAAUUGGGGAUGUUCUAAUUGAGCACCAUCCACCUUAAGUGAGUGUUUGGUUAAGUUUUUCUGAAUUGAUUGUGGAUAGAAAUGGUUUUGAUAUUGUUGAUUUACAUUUGGAGAUAUUUCUAAAACAAAGAAUUAUGUGAGUAAUGUAAUAAUAUUCAAUUGUGAAAUCCUAUAAUUAGUUGAUUAUGUCCACACACCAGAAAUUAGGAUUGUAGAUUGAUCAAAGAAUUGAUUUUGAAACUAGAAUCAAUCAUUGAAGUAAACAUCCAAACACCUUAAAAUUGAUUAAGGAGGAUAUAAUCAAUGGUGCUUUGAGAUAAUUACAACUAGUUAUAAUCUGUAGUCAUCUGUGACUUAAGUAGAGCAUCUCCAUACUAAACUAAUGUUAGUCAUAAGCAGACAUUAUUAUAAUUUGUUAAAUUCAGCAUUGUCUUGGAUGGGAUUCUUUUUCCCUUUUGUUUAUCUUGGUGAGCUGUCAUCGAUCUCUGAUCGAACAUGUGAGGAGUAAUGUUUGUUUCUUAAAUGUUUUAAAUAACUUUCAAUGCAAUCUGCAAAGUGCAAAGUACACAGGUAGGAGCAGAGAGUGAGCAUAAGUUAUGUCUGCAUUAUUCAAUUAUAUAUAUGGUCCUUACUUUUAAAGGUAUAGUCUAUUUUUCUUUUUGGAUUCGUAUCUAACUAGAAAUUUCAAUCCAACUUUGCUUUGUUUUUUUUUUUGUUGCUUUGUACUAUUCAGUAAGUCAGAGUAUGUAAUAUUCAAGCUCAAAGAGAUGGGUAAAAUACAGGAAAAAGAUGUGAUGCAAAUUUGUGAUCAAUUCGGGAAGCAUGACCCCUCUAACCGUGGGAAGAUAACAUUACCUCAUCUCUUAGGACCUGUUUGAUUUCAUGUUGAUCACAGCGCAAUCGGGUCUCUCUUUCAUGUUCGGCAUUUUGGGAUGUGCGAUCUCUCUUUCUGAGGCAAGUGAACCUGGGUUCCGGGAGGAAUCCAAACACACUUAGGAUGAGGAAUGCAAACUGGGGAAGAUUAUCCUUCAUGCAAAAAAUUCUACAACUGUACAUGACAAGUGUUCUACCUUAGAGGUCUCAGUUAUUUGAAUCAUUGGGAUAUAGAUUUUGUAUAGAUAUAUGUAGAUUUGCGGAGAUUGUUAGUAGAAACUAGAAAGAGAACCCAUCAAUCCUAGAGCUUUUUGUGUUCACAACAAUGGAUUAGCCGGUUCUAAAAAGAAAAAAUAUUUGAUUCAAUGAUAAAAAUUAUCUGAUUGAAUUCUUAUUAUUUUUAAUUCUUUUAUUUAAUCGGUUAGAUUCUGAAUUUACAUUCAAUCGAUCUACUCAGUUUUAUAGUUUUAGAUUUUACAUUUUCAUUUAAAUUGGUAGCAUAUAAAAAUCUUAAAAUAUAUAAUUAUUUAACUUAGAAACAAAUCCAUUAUCCAUGUUUGAAGAAAAAAGAAAACAAAUCGUAUGAAAAAUGACUCAAGAAGGACACCCAAAUGAGUGUUUAGUUUGAUCCUCAUAUUGAACUUCCAAGUUGAUCCUUAAUAGGCUAUUUUUUAAUUAAAAAAAUUAGAUGAGUUUGGCACAUUGCUUGCAAUGUGAUUUGUUCUUUUCCCUGUCUGAUUUUUUAAAAAAUAAUAAUUCAAAACCGGCAGCCAAGUCACAAGUCAUCCUAAUCUGCUAAUGAUUUUAUACAAAUUUUACAAUUAUACUCAAUGAUUGUAGCCAAUUAGCUACCCUCACGGUAAGGACCACAGGGUGAUAAAGAGAAAACAACCGAGACAAAACAACAACUCCAUGUUCAUUUAUCUGAGUACAGAUAAAGUCUAUUAUUUGAGAGAAAACAAAUCCUCACAAGUCACAAUCAUGAAUGAUAAGGCAACAUCAUUUGGUGCUAUGCUUACUGUCUACCACCCUAAGCAAAAUAUGGAAUUUUUUCUUUUCGGCUAGUUAAUUACAAAAACAAGACACUAGAUUAAUGAUCAGCAAAAAUUGAAUCCAUUGCCUUUACUGAGAAGAAGUAAAACUUGCAACUGCGUCCAUUUCUUCUCGCAAUAGAAGAGCAUCAAUGAAGACAUCAAGAUUCUCUCCUUGCAUUACAUCGUCUAUUGAGUGAUAGGUGAUACCAACUCUAUGAUCAGUUACACGGCCUUGAGGAAAAUUGUAUGUUCGGAUGCGUUCAGAUCUGUCCCCACUACCAAUCUGUGCAGGUUGGGAAACUACUUAUCAAUUCAGAAAAGAAAAGUAUAUAGCAGUUGGACAAAGUCUUUUAGAUAUCUCUCGUACCUGCUCCGAUCGAAGCUUUGAUCGAUUACUGUGAAGUCUCAACCUUUCCAUUUCAUAUAGCUUCGCACACAGUAUCUUGAGAGCUUUGGCCUUGUUCUAAACAUAAAUGAUAUGGCAAGAGAUAGAAAGUCAGGUUGAGAAAAAAGAUGUAGAAAGAGUAACCAAAAUAAUUUAUCACAGAUCACACUCAGCCAAGCCUGCCUCAUCCAAUGUCACAAUGGCCCUUUCAAUAUCUUAGACUACUGAAACGAAUUAAGCUUAAAAAAAAAAGAGUAGGGGAAAAGAAAAAGAGCUUGCGUCAUGCUUUCUUCUACUUAAAAGUUUUGAGACUAAUAUGAAAUUAUACCAUAAACAUGCUUUCUAAGAGAAUGUAAAUGCCAAAGAGAUGAAGCCUAAACAAAGUUUAAUCAGCCUGCUUGCAUCAACUGAACUGAGAGAAUGCACACAAUUCACUUCAACCAUGCCAUAUGAAAAACAACUAAUGCAAAAAAUUACCAAGUACCACCACACCAGAACAUAUCCCCUCAACAAUACCUCUCUUAAGUCCAGGUAAAUUUUAUGCAAGGCAUAAUAGAUAAGUUACAAGUCAAUCAAGAGGAGCAGCAACACUACAUAAUACUAUUAACUCCAAAACACUGUAUAAAUUUCUAUAAAAUCAGAAUGAGAGUAAUACUAAAAAGAAAGCACACUAGCAGUCAAAAAAGUAAUGUGAACCAUGCCAAAUAUUUUUAAACCAUUUAUACCAUAUGCUGAGAACGCUCAUCUUGUAUAGCAACUAUAAUCCCUGUUGGAAUGUGAGUUAUUCUAACAGCACUGUUGGUUGUAUUUGCAUGCUGACCACCUGAACCACCAGAUCUAUAGGUAUCGACUUUUAAGUCUUCAUUUUUCAAUUGAACAUCGACCUACAUAAGGGUGCGUGCAUGAUUAGCAAUAAGACUCCAGAAAGAAAAAAAAGGUACGAGCACAUAAAAUAUCAAACAUAUAAGACAUUUACCAGACCUUCAUAAUUUCAUUCGUUAACCCAACAGAACCAGAGGAGGAUGAGUGUGUGUGUGUGUGUGAGAGGGAGAGAGAGAGAGAGAGAGAGAGAGAGAGAGAGAGAGAGAGAGAGAGAGAGAGAGAGAGAGAGAGAGAGAGAGAGAGAGAGAGAGGGAGGUUGUAUGGGAAUCCUUUUCUUUAUCCUCUAAGAGGAGCUAAAAGUUGAGAGCACUGUUUCAUAUUCUCACAACAGACAUUCAAGUUUCAUAUUACAGGGAAUUGAUUUAUAUUACUAAUUACCUCAUCAGCCUGAGGGAGGAUUGCUACAGAAACAGCACUGGUAUGAACACGUCCCAACUUUUCUGUCACAGGAACUCGCUAUUGAAAAAGAAUGUCAGUAAUUGCUAAAAGUGGACUUAGCCAUAGAUAGUAUCUGAGAGGUAUAGCAGCUACCUGUACUCUAUGAAUUCCACUUUCAAAUUUUAGUUUCCCAAAAACACCAGCUCCUGCAAUUGCUGCACUAGCUUCCUGAUAAAGCAAAGUCCAAACAAAGAAUGCGUCAAUUGUAAGAUAAAUUCAUUUCUUCUAUCAAGAACAUGUGGCACAGAGUAUAACCAGAAGGUUGUAACACAUGGUGGAUGUCACAAUCAACAAUUCAAAGCAUUUAACUAAAAUGGUACUCAAAAUCAAAUUGUAUUUCGCAUAUAUAAUGCAUGAAAUAUGUACCUUGUAUCCUUUCAUAUCAGAUUGAGCUAUAUCUACAACUUCAAACUUCCAUCCAUUCUUGUGAGCAUACUUCUCAUACCUACAUUAUGUGAGACAAUAUCCCUUUUAGAAAACUAUAACAAUAGUUUCCGAAUCUGACCUCCAGUGAUAGAUAGCCUUACAUUUUGAAGAUAUCCAUUGCAAACAAGGAAGCCUCCUCCCCACCAGAGCCUGGAAUAAAACAGUAUAACACCAAAAAAUUAAAAGGUGCGUAAUAAAAAGCAUAGAGAGGCAAAAGCAAACAGGGAUAAGAGUAAAUAACAGACAUUCAUAGAAGCAUGCAUUUGAUGAACAUCAGUGAUUAGCAUUCAUUUUCAAAAGUGACACUGACCUGCUCGCACCUCCAAAAUGGAAUCCCUUUCAUCAGCAUCAUCUUUAGGAAGUAAUGACUUCAGCAGCAUAUUUUGUAAUCUUCUUUCUUCCUCUUUGGCUUGGCCAAACUCCUCUGUUGCCAUACUAAGCAUGUCUUUGUCUUCAGAACUUUCAGCCAUUAGUGUCUUCAAGCCAUCAAUUUCCUGCCGAUAAUAAAAAGAGGUAGCAUCAGAAAAUAAUCUUCCCCUUUUUUUUUCUUAUUUCUUCAAACUCCAAAAAGCCUAAUUUCCUGCACACAGGAAAUGUAAAUAGAUAGAUACUCCAUUUGUUCCUAUUUAUAAGGCAUAUUCUAUAAGAUUUUCAUGACCCUUAAUAUAUAUUUUUUUUGUCUUGACCAAGGUAUCCCCACAGCCGAUAGCCGUGAGACUAAUCCCUCGCCCCACGGUCAGCGCACAGCCGAUAGCCGUGAGACUAAUCCCUCGCCCCACGGUCAGCGCACUAAGCGGUAGGGGGCUGGCCAAGGAGUUUUUUCUAUUCGCAAGAGUUGGGAUUCGAACCCCCAACCACUUGCUUAAAGGAUGAAGUGCUGAACCACUACACCAACCCACUUGGUUACAUGACCCUUAAUAUAAGUCACUUUUAAAUACCUAUGAAUCAUUAAAUAUUUUUUCCCAAAUUUCUUUUUGUUUUCCAAUAAGGGUAAUUUAGGAAAACUAACAUAAUUUUUUUAUAAUUUUGAGACUAACAAUUAAUCUAAACUAAUUUUCUAAAUCUAUGUAAAUUAGUUAAAAGUGACUAGUAAAUAGUUAUAAAUAGAAACAAAGAGAGUAGUAUGUGGCUAUAUGUUAAAAAAAAACAUGUAAUAGAAGGAACAAAAAAGCUUUUUCCCCCACUAGGUGGUGACUCCUAGUCCUAUAAACUACAAUGACACCAUUGUGUUUUGUCAUGAACCAAGUCAUGGAAGUACUACCGAAACAAAAAGUAUAUAUAAGCCCUCAAGUAUCUGUUUGCUAACUAGGUAUGCUAAACAAAAGAGUUAACUAGAAGAAUGAAAAGACAAAAAAAAGAAGAAGAUUUAGAGACAGCAAUAUGAACCCUAUCUUUCAUGUGAAGCAUAAAACACCAACCUAGAAUUAAGCCAGAAAAAUACUUUCAAGUUUCAACCUUAACACAGCUUAACAAUACAACUUAAUGAUUCUUCAAGAAUGAGAAACUAGCUCAUUUCCUAAGAAAGAUGAAUGUAUCACAGUCACCAACCCAUUUGCAAACAAAAAAUCACAAAAUGUUAUGAUUCCAAAAUACUAACACUAGUUCAAAUUCAGGCAAAUUGCUAAGAAAAAACAGCGUCUGCAUCAAUUAACUACCUUCUGUUUUGCCCUUAAUUCAUUGAUAAGUUCAACAGAGCCACUCAGCUUCCUCAGCUCCUUAUUAGCUCGUGCAUACUCUGAAGGUGUAGCUUCUGGCUGUCUUCAAUCAAACAUAAGACAAUGAACUCAAACUAACAUUCAACUUACAACAUCAAAAACAGAAAUUCCAAUUGCAUUACCUGAUUCAGAAGAUUGCUAAGACAAGCACUCCUGUGCUCAAUUGCAGAGAGUCUUUGUUCCAUAAUGUUCAACAGGUCAGGAGACAGUUGAGGUUGCACUUCUGCUAACAAUAUCAAUUAAAUUCAGAACAAACAGAGAAAAAAAAAAUAUAGCAAUGAAAAUCGCCGGAUCUAAAGAAGGAAGAAGGUUUACCGGCGGAGUAAGAACGACGGGGAAACGGAGGACGGUGGCGGAAAUUAGGGAGUGGGAGAUCGGAGUUUGAUUCGAAUUGCUUCCGCCACCGUGAAAGGUAGCGGCACAUGAUGAACCUACCAUGAUUUCUCAUCUCAUCGUUGAAGCUUUUCCUCUGCGUUUUCAGUGUUCUCGCGUUUUCGCGAAGUGAACAUGAUGAUGAUUUCUGUCAUAGGCCCAUUCACCAUAUAAAGCCCAUUGGGCUCAGCCUCUUAAAAACAAUUAAUUUGGGCCCUCCUUUUUAUCACCAAGAAAAACCUUUUUUUUUAAAUACUGAUACGCGAUUACGUUGUUUCGUUACAUACUUAUGACGUGUGACUGCCGCUCAACUUGAAAAGUAAAAAAUAUUGACAAAAAAAAAAAGAAAAGUAAAAAAUAAAACGGUUAGCAAGGGGUUUAAAACACUUGCAAAAUAAAGACGCAAUUUGUGACGGUAUGAACAACCAUCUUAAAUUGCGAGAAAACUUUUAAUAAAAAGAAUAUUUUAGUGGGGUCUUACAAGGGAUAAUGUUUCAUCCACACCUCUCUUUUGAGGUGAAGGGGUGGAAUGGUGAGAGAUAUGAAGAAAAGAAAAAGUAAGAGAGAGAAAAUAUGAGAUGUGAUAGAUGAUAAGAUGAGAGAGAUAGAAAUAAAAAGAGGUGUAAAUGAAGUGUUUAAAAAAUGAGGUGUGUAUAUAUCAUUACUCUCUUACAAGACACGCAACAACUUUAUGGAAGCAUUUCAAAUUGGUAGGAAAACCUUUUUUUUAGAUAUUUGGCAUUUUAGAUAUUUCGUGAAGUGGUUGCACGUGUUGAUUGGUGAUCGCGGGUGGUUGUAUGUCCAUCAAACGUUAUCCAUAUGGUGCUUGCUAUGAUACCACAACACUUAGUUGGGUUAUGAUACAAGACGUGACAUGGACCAAUAACGUUUAAGAGGGUGUUUCUUCUUUUUCCCAUAUAUGUUUUUAAAUGAAACAAAAAUUCAAAUACACUGUCAGAUGUCGGUUUCCUAUUGGUACACGUCAAAUCAUGUCACUCAUGUACCCUACAAUGAGGGUACAGCAGAAUUCACCUAUCCAUAUUUGCAAUAUCUUUACUAUAUGCAUUUGUGAUUUUAAUAAUAUUUUGUGUGUUUUGAAGUUUGAAUAGUUUAAUGUGUUCAUAUUUUGUCUCUUAAAAUAAUAAGUGUUAAAUUUGUUCUGUAAAAUAUAAGUGAAUGAGAAGCAGUUUCUUCAUUAUCGUUCAUUUUGUGCAAUAAUGGUAGUUACAAACAACCAUAAAAUGUGAUAGUGACACUUUAAACCACCACAAAAUUCACCACAUAUACUAAUUUCACAUAUUUCAUUAAUUAAUAUCAGGGGUUAAAAGCUAUGAUUUUUUUUAGGGAACAAAUUUAAUUCACUCGUAUUUUACAGGACUAAAACACAUUUAACUCUAAUAAUUACAAUAAUUUUUUCUAUAUUUUAAAAAGACAGUGUGUCCCCGUAUGAUAGUUCAAGUAGUAGAAGUUGAGGGACAUAUGAAGUAGUUGUUUACACUGGUUUCUAGUAAACAAAUAUCCUCUUAGUUCGACUAAAGGAAGUUUAGAUUUCAGGGUCCUUUUGAGAAAACGCUUUGCCAAAGUGUAGUGUGUGAGUGGACGUUUUUCGACAACAACGAGUGAUUCAAGUAAAACUGGAUUUCAUUAAACACGGAUCAAUUACAAGAAAGUCAAGUAAAAACAAAACGAAAUAAAAGUGACAGGAGACGUAGAUUUCGAGAGGAAACUACACAAAGGAACUGGAAAUUGACAAGCUUAAUGAAAGAAAACUAAAAAUCUUGUUCGGCAACGUACUCCUCCAUCAUCACAUCUUGCUCCUUGAGUCUCAUUGAUGCGGACAUUAGAGCUUUUUGGGUGAGUUUUUCAGAGUUGAGUUGGGAACCCUCUCUCUGAUUUGAUUUCUCCUAUUUAUAGAGCAUGUCCUUGGCGGUUUUCUUCUUCCCCUUGGAUGGAUUAGUGGGUCUAACCCCCUCUUCCCACGAUCUGGAGUUGGUUUUGGAAGUCCUUUGUGCAGUGGGGGAGAUCGUGUGCCUCAACUGCUUUAACCGCUUCUGGGCCACGUAUUCGACCAAUCGUGGUGAGAAUCUGACUUGGUCAAUGCUGCACGUGUUACAUGUGCCCCUGUUUAGCACUAGUCCCUAUUGUCGAAUUCGGCUGCCUCCUUAACUUGGUGCAUCUUCCUUUUCCUUUCUUCAGUCCGAAUUCGACUACCUUGUGUGUUUUGGGCCGAACGCGUUUUUAUCUCUUUUUGGGCCAAAAUAUUGGGCCAACAGAUGCCCCCAAAAAAUGUUGAUUCUCGACUACCAGGUCUUGGAGGGAUCAAGCAUUUUUUGCUCGUGAAUUUCGAACGGGACUAAUGGUUAUUUGUGACUUUUUCCUUUCUGACUUCAAGUCCCAUCAGAAAUCCUAUCGUUUGACUUUUGCCCCAAUCAGAAGCCUUAGCGUCUGACUUCGUCUGUCAUCUGCCGUCUCUAUUCUAGGGUAAUCAUGACCCCUUUCUAGCCUUUUUGUUAGGGUUUGCGGUUAUAUAAUAAAAUAACCGUUGGAUUUCAAAACUUUUGUGCAUCAUCCUAGAAUGCAGCUUCACGUCCGACUCUUCACUUGCCUAUAAAUACGCCAUUGUUGGCCCUCUGCAAGCUUUACCCUUUUUCAAACACUCGAGCUUUUCAAACACUCAAGCUUUUGUCUGAUUUUACUUGUGAGAUCAUCUUCCAUUGUUUGGUUUUCUGCUUCUCUGGUGCGUUUUCCUGAACAUCUUCAUGGCUUCCAGUUCUGACAACGUCAUUCCCUUGGCCGCUGCGUGUGAGAUGAAUGAGGCCAAACGCACUCCCAUUCCAGACCCGCCUUAUGAAGUGGAGAAAAGGGCCAUCUGGAAAUCUCAGGUAUUCAUCCCUAUUUCUGUUAAUGGCAAUCUACGUGCCAUCUUAGGUCCCCUGAAGAAGGCGAAGAAGGGCAGGCCUAAUAGCCUUCCUGAGGGUUACGAGCAGUUUCACCCCAGUGUUCGUGGGGAUGAACUUGUUCUUGCAUUUCGACCCUCUUACCGCUUGCCCUUCCUGAAAGAUCCCAAGAGGGCUUUUAGGUCUGCACCGCCUAAUCCAACUGCUGGUGAGGGAGCCUAUUUGAAGUGGCUCGACAGGGUGGAGGCCAGUAAAUCUGGGCACUGGAAAGUCACUGGGAUUUUCGACCUCAUUCAGCUGUCGAGGUCGCCGAUUUCUUAUAACCCUGCUAUGCUUUUAAGUUCUCUUUUCUUUUGGGAGCGGUCUACCAAUAGCUUCCAUGUCCCCUUUGGAAUGCUUUCUCCCACUCUCCUUGAUGUUGCUGCCAUUACUGGCCUUUGGGUGGUAGGUGAUGAUUACCAUUCCUCUGCUGCCCCCACCAAUCCCAUAACCAUUCCGACGGAUAACAUCGCUUUCAGUAAGUUUAUUACAGAUCACUAUGUCGAGAAUGGUGAAGUCUCCGACGCUGAGCAUGUCGCGUUUCUGUUGUAUUGGCUCUCUGCCUAUGUGUUAUGUACCAAAUCUUUGAGGAUUCCGGCUAAACUUCUUCCUUUAGCCAAUCUGUUACAUGAGGGUCGAAUUAUCGCUAUGGCCAGGCUUGUGCUUGGUGUAACGCCCCAAUUUCUCAACUGAGGAGUCACAUUAGUAACCUAACAAAGUCUAAGGACGAUUUCGUAACCCUAAGAAAACACAAUAAUUUUUUUCCUUUUCAAAACAACCAAACACAGUUUAUACAUAUCAUAAUCUUAAUUAAACAACCCGUUCCCGACAUAAUAAUAAUAGUGUCUUACAUCAUCAUGAACAAGUUUCCAAAAUAAGUACGCUCACUUAGACAAGUGACGAAUAUAAGGUUUAAACAACAGAUUUUUCAGAAGGAAAAGAAACUCAAACAUAGUCCUCCAAAAAGGGAGAAGCAACUGCUUCAUCCACCUCUACUCGACCGCCCACGGUCACCAACUUGAACAGCUAAGCUUCAGCGGAAGGCUCUCUGAUAAGUGCCAAUUUUACGUAGUUUUCCAUUGUUAUUAAGGCACUUAUCUAUGUGAUUUAUGGAAAUUAUCUUGCAAAUUGACUCUCUUUUGAUUAGAAUGUGUUUAAAUGGAGAUCCAAUCUCAAUUGUUGUUGUAAGGACAUGAAUCUAGUGAAGAGAUGAAGAUUUGGUGAAAAGAUAAAGAGUUUUGGAAGGUUUGGGAAAAAUCAGCUGAGCCCUUUAAAAACCAGCUGAGCUCCUUUUAUCCUGUCAGAAAAGGGCUGAGCGGCCAAGAAAGGGGCUGAGCGUCUUCAAGGCGGUUAAAGAAAACCCAUCCCUAAAGUAACAGGGCGCUGAGCGGCCAGAAAAGGGGCUGAGCGGUCGUGCCAGAUUUGCCAUUUAAAAGGAAAUUUUAAAGCAGAACAGAGGAGAACUCUUUGGACCAGAACUGAAACCCACAACUUAGGGAAAGAUAGAACUCGAAGGAGAGCAUCAAGGGAGGUAUAGGAGACUUGGGAGAAGGCUUUGGAGCCGAUUUCAUCGCCGGGGAACCGUCACGUAUUCGGUUUUUCAUCGUUCUUCUUCUCUUUUAUGAUUGUAAAGCUAUCCAUGGAAAUGGAUAGCUAAUUUCUCAUUUGUUGGGAUUAGAACUAGUUGUUUUGAUGCUCAUGUAAUCUAUUUGAUUUCCUUUCAUGCAAAUUUCAUGUUUCUAUGCUAAAGAAUCAAUGGUUUUCUCUUUUGCUUCAUGCUACAUCUUAGGUUUGAUCCCCUUGGGUAUUUUGAUUGAUUCAAACUUGUGUAGGGAACUCACACGUUCUUGAGUCUGAACUAGAGUUAAUCAUAUGUUUCUUUUCCAUGAUUCAAUGAUUUUUACCUUGUGCUUCAUGCUUGUUUUGGAUUGAUCACCUAGAACAUGAAUUUAGAUUUAAUAGGAUGGUGGGAACUAACUAUUUAAAUCUGAAUUAGGUAAAAGCAUCUAAUGAUUCUAAGGUCUAGGGAUAGGGUUAGAUCAUUAGUCUAUUCAAACAUCUAUGCUUAAUGCUACUCACUAUUGUUAAUCGAUCAAGGGAUUGAAGGUUAAUAUAGGGAGUUGAUAAUCUUCUACACCGGUGGACUGGGUAGUAAGAUAAGAAAUGGUGGGAGGAAUCAAUUGCAUAGAACGAUAUUUGUAUGUGAAUCAAUAGAAUACAUAGAGGUCAAACAACGAAACUCUAAUCCCAGCAAAACUAUCUACCUUGGUGAAUUCAACUACUUUACCUGCUUUCUUACUAUUUUCAUGUUCUUAAACAAACCCCUAAUAUCUCUGUUAACCAUCAUUUGAGUCUGUUAGCUAUUGAACGGCAUAAGUAUUACACCUCCUUGUGGAUACGACAAAACCCUUUACUAUACUACAAUUGAGUCUUGAGAGAUUCAAACGUAGAGUGGUAAAAAAAUCUUUCAAGAAAUUGGCGCCGUUGCCGGGGAGGUGUGCCAAUACUAAUUGCAUUGCAAUAGUUUUCAUUCUUGAAUGAUUGUGAAUAUAGUGUAUAGUUUUUGUUUUCAGUUUAACUUUCCUUGUUGUUACUAAUCUCUUGUGUUAGUUAGCUAGUUCAAGAGGAGAAGCAACAAGAAGCUUCUGAAUCACUACUUUCAAAAUGUUUCAAUCGUCUCAAACAUACUAUCCCUCCGAAGAGGAUAGGAUUUCUAAGCUUGAGGAUACAUUGGUGCAAUUUAUGCAAUUGUCAAUGAUUAAUCAAAGGAAUACUGAGGCUUCCAUCAAGAACUUGGAGGAUCAAUUGGGAAAGCUAGCUAACAUGGUAGCUGAACAUGGAAGAGGAAUUGUUGAAGCACAAGUGGAAGAAAGUGAGGAAGAAGAAGAAAAAUCAAAAAAAGAAGAAAGAGAUCCAACCCUUCACCACUUACCGAUUCCUUCAAGCCCUCCACAGGUAAAACAUGAUGAGGAUGAGGUAAGCGUUGAAGAUUUUGAUAGCAUAUCACAUCACCAAUGCAAUGAUGAAAUUAUUAAUGUUGAGCAUAUUGACUCUGUAUUUGGUGAUAGGUUUGAUGAACAAGUUCCAUCAAAUUCUUCAAAGAACUUUAAAUUUUCAUUCAUUCAUAUGCAUGUAAAUACCUUGGCAUGUGAGUUGAAUGUAGGUGAAUUGGGUUUGAUUGAGAAAAGAAAGAAAAAGAAUGAGUUUUUGAUGGCUUGGAAAUACUUUGUUAGAAAAUUAGAUGAAAUCCAAGUCAAAAGGCCUAAAAAAAGGAAGGGGUUAUACUAUAAUCCUUGUUUGUGGUCACCAUGAUAGUGCUAGCGUCAAGCUAAUGACGUUAAACAAGCGCUUCCUGGGAGGCAACCCAGUGUUUUUAUUGCUUUUGUUAUAUUUAUGUUUUUAUGUGUUUUAGUAAGUGGUAGUGUGAUUUUGUGAAGCUUUGAUUAAUUGUGUGCUUUAAGGUGCUUCACAAGUUUUGAUAGAUAUAUUGAGUGUGUUCAUAAGCUUUGGAAGCAACGAAAAUGAUAAACUUUGAAUUUGAGGAGGUGACUUGUGAAAAUGCAUGAAAUUUGAAUGGAAUUUGGAUCAUGUGAAAUUUCUGUUCAAAAUUUGAGUUUAGGGGUUGCUACAGGUUCAACUAAGUGUUUAUCAUGCAUAUGGAUUGAUGGUAUGCAAGAUUUGUAUGAAUUGUAAAAUCUGAGGUAUGUGGUUGUGUGGUCUUAAGUGAAAAACAAGUCCCACUAUGGUAUUUUCUUCAUAAACUGUGCAAAGUUUCUUCCUAUUGCUUGUGAACCAUCUCAUAAUGUGUUUUGAAUGUCGUUUUUCAAGUUUUAGGAUAAGUUUUAGUGAACUUCUUGAUGGUGUGAUGGAAUUGCAAAAAUGAAGGUCUAUUUGUGAUUGUCAUGUCCAUGGAGUGAGUUAUGAUGCCAUGCGCUUCAAUUGUGUAUCUAAAAGCUCUCAACAAGUUUUAAAUAAUGUUAAUAUAUCGUUUUGAGGCCUAGCAUGAAGGAAAUGUAAGAAGUUCAAAAUAUAAGGUAUUGAGUUGUGAAAUAAGUGAAAUUUGACCCUAAAUGGAGCUUAGAGUGACUUUUGUGCGAAAUGUGCUUCAAUUUCUAAUCUUAAGUUAUGCACAAGUUUCAUAGGGUAUAUAAAUGUGUUUGAACCAAAUGGCAUGUGUUAAAAUUGUUUAAAUCAAAAUUUGGCCUAUUGAGUUGUGGAAAUGCAUGAAACUUGACUUUGAAGCUUGGAUUGUAAAUCACUGAUGAAUUGAGCUUGAGUGUUGAUUUUUAAGGCUUAGACGUGUUUCAUAUGAUGAAUGGAUGUGAAAGAAUCAAUUGGCAUGCUCUGAAAAUUGAAAACUCAAAAUUUGACCUACCCACUUGUGAUUUAAGAGAGUUUUGAGUUCUUGUGAAAAUUGUCAAUUUGAUCUUUUGAUUUUGGAUUUGUGAUUGAAAAUUUGGUUUGAAAAAGAUUUGAGCAAGUUUAAAUGAGUGUUUAGAGUGUAUGAGUGAAGGUGAGGAGUGAAAACUUAGUCUAGAACAAGCAUUGGAUAUAGCACUUGUGAAAAACCAGAUUUUUCAACUGCAACACCAUUAUGCAGGUCUUAUUUCUGUCCAAAACACGCUUAGCGUGUUAUUUGGGGUGCUUAGCGCCCUGAAUUUUGCAAAGCAUAAUGGAUUCACUGCCAUUUUAGCGCUCAGCGCUAGGUUUGGGCGCUCAGCGCCACCCCUGAAACAGCAAUACAUGCUUUACUUCAAAUGUACAUAACUUCUUCAUUUCUUAUCGGGUUUAAGCAAAUGACCACUCUUUGGAAAGAUCUUGAAGUCUAUUUUCAUAUGAACUUGAGUUUUUACUAUUAUAACACUUUUAUUUUCUCAUUUAUCUCUUGUAUUCUAACAUGUUUCAAGUGACUGUAAGGCAGAUUAACAAUAAAAUCAUACAGUUUGGCCUGAGGACAGUCCAUUUCUCAAGGAGGGAGUGAGACAUCAAGGAUUUGAGUAGUGAUCUUGGAUUCAAAGCAUUCACAUCAUGAGGGAACCCACUUUACCUUGUUUUUAGUUUCUUUCUGAUAGUAUAGUUUUUUUUCUAUAGAUAGCACUUGUGCCCUAGAUUUCAUGUUUCUCUGACUGUUUUCAAUACUAGCAUGACUAUUGUGAGAAUCCCUUGAUCUGUACUUAAAAUGAAUUGAUUUUAGUGAUUCUAUGAUAGAAGUUGUGUUUGCACUCAUUGAUGUCAUGACUAGAUAUGAUUGCAUUAUUCACUUGGAAUUCUUGAAGCAUAACAAGAAAAUUACUUGAAAAUCAGGGUUAUUUGAAACUUUUUAGCCUGUGAGGGAGUGUUCCUAUACACUGUGAGUUGAGAGAGCAUCACUUCUUUGCAUGGUUGAUUUUCUAGACUAAAGCUCUGAUACCACAAUUGUAACGCCCCAAUUUCUCAACUGAGGAGUCACAUUAGUAACCUAACAAAGUCUAAGGACUAUUUCGUAACCCUAAGAAAACACAAUAAUUUUUUUCCUUUUCAAAACAACCAAACACAGUUUAUACAUAUCAUAAUCUUAAUUAAACAACCCGUUCCCGACAUAAUAAUAAUAGUGUCUUACAUCAUCAUGAACAAGUUUCCAAAAUAAGUACGCUCACUUAGACAAGUGACGAAUAUAAGGUUUAAACAACAGAUUUUUCAGAAGGAAAAGAAACUCAAACAUAGUCCUCCAAAAAGGGAGAAGCAACUGCUUCAUCCACCUCUACUCGACCGCCCACGGUCACCAACUUGAACAGCUAAGCUUCAGCGGAAGGCUCUCUGAUAAGUGCCAAUUUUACGUAGUUUUCCAUUGUUAUUAAGGCACUUAUCUAUGUGAUUUAUGGAAAUUAUCUUGCAAAUUGACUCUCUUUUGAUUAGAAUGUGUUUAAAUGGAGAUCCAAUCUCAAUUGUUGUUGUAGGGACAUGAAUCUAGUGAAGAGAUGAAGAUUUGGUGAAAAGAUAAAGAGUUUUGGAAGGUUUGGGAAAAAUCAGCUGAGCCCUUUAAAAACCAGCUGAGCUCCUUUUAUCCUGUCAGAAAAGGGCUGAGCGGCCAAGAAAGGGGCUGAGCGUCUUCAAGGCGGUUAAAGAAAACCCAUCCCUAAAGUAACAGGGCGCUGAGCGGCCAGAAAAGGGGCUGAGCGGUCGUGCCAGAUUUGCCAUUUAAAAGGAAAUUUUAAAGCAGAACAGAGGAGAACUCUUUGGACCAGAACUGAAACCCACAACUUAGGGAAAGAUAGAACUCGAAGGAGAGCAUCAAGGGAGGUAUAGGAGACUUGGGAGAAGGCUUUGGAGCCGAUUUCAUCGCCGGGGAACCGUCACGUAUUCGGUUUUUCAUCGUUCUUCUUCUCUUUUAUGAUUGUAAAGCUAUCCAUGGAAAUGGAUAGCUAAUUUCUCAUUUGUUGGGAUUAGAACUAGUUGUUUUGAUGCUCAUGUAAUCUAUUUGAUUUCCUUUCAUGAAAAUUUCAUGUUUCUAUGCUAAAGAAUCAAUGGUUUUCUCUUUUGCUUCAUGCUACAUCUUAGGUUUGAUCCCCUUGGGUAUUUUGAUUGAUUCAAACUUGUGUAGGGAACUCACACGUUCUUGAGUCUGAACUAGAGUUAAUCAUAUGUUUCUUUUCCAUGAUUCAAUGAUUUUUACCUUGUGCUUCAUGCUUGUUUUGGAUUGAUCACCUAGAACAUGAAUUUAGAUUUAAUAGGAUGGUGGGAACUAACUAUUUAAAUCUGAAUUAGGUAAAAGCAUCUAAUGAUUCUAAGGUCUAGGGAUAGGGUUAGAUCAUUAGUCUAUUCAAACAUCUAUGCUUAAUGCUACUCACUAUUGUUAAUCGAUCAAGGGAUUGAAGGUUAAUAUAGGGAGUUGAUAAUCUUCUACACCGGUGGACUGGGUAGUAAGAUAAGAAAUGGUGGGAGGAAUCAAUUGCAUAGAACGAUAUUUGUAUGUGAAUCAAUAGAAUACAUAGAGGUCAAACAACGAAACUCUAAUCCCAGCAAAACUAUCUACCUUGGUGAAUUCAACUACUUUACCUGCUUUCUUACUAUUUUCAUGUUCUUAAACAAACCCCUAAUAUCUCUGUUAACCAUCAUUUGAGUCUGUUAGCUAUUGAACGGCAUAAGUAUUACACCUCCUUGUGGAUACGACAAAACCCUUUACUAUACUACAAUUGAGUCUUGAGAGAUUCAAACGUAGAGUGGUAAAAAAAUCUUUCAACACUCUCCAUCGCCUAAUAGCGUUAAGCGCCCAAACAACAAAUAGCAAAUAGAAAGGGUUAACUCCAUGCAACUACCAUGUAUAAAAGAGAAAAUCAUGUUAUUCGAAUUUAAUUAUCUAGCAUGGUAAAUAACCUAGCAACCUAACGCAUCUCAUAUAUCAACAUCUUAACAUAGAUUAACUCAGAUAAUAAUAACCUCAACAAUGUAACAUCAAAUCAGAUAUCAAUAAAACAAUAACUAUAAUUCAACAACGUAGGGUCAGGUGUUAGUUCCCUAUAAUGCAACUAUAUGCUGCUACGAAAAUGGAUCGAUCAGCAACGUCUUAGAAGACGGGACGAUCACGUGGGACAAUCACCACCACACCGCCACUUAACGCCACUACGGACGGGACAAUCACGUGGGACAAUCACCACCACACUGCCACUUUAGGACAUCUCGAAAGAUGGGACGAUCACGUGGGACAAUCACCACCACACCGCCACUUUAUAACGCCUUAAAAGACGGGACAAUCACGUGGGACAAUCACCACCACAUUGCCACUUCAAGUUGAAGCCCUAAAUGUCGAGUUAGUCAACAACAAUCCUCAACCUCAGUAAUCACUCGAACAACAGUCUCAAAUCCAACAAUCAAUUCAAGGUAACCACAUGUUAUUCAUAACCUCAACGAACAUAAAUCAAUUCAAUGCAUACCAACUCAGUUCAAUGACAGAAACCAGUAAACGGCCGAAGCCUCUCAGAAAAUGGAGACACACGUCUCAAUAAGUUCACUCGGCCGAAGCCUUCAGAAAACAUUUGGCACAAGCCUCAGAAACAGUCAACAUAAGCAAGCAUAAUAAUCAUAAUCAUCUGCCAAUCAAUAUAAACAUCUUCAUCUCAAACACAGGCAGUGCGAUAAAAGCAUGCAAGACUCAAAGACACUCUAAAACUGAGUUACCCUUACCUUCGUGAGUAGAAGUUGGGCAUGGAAGUUGUGAACCUAGAACAAGGAAACACAAUCAUCAACACAAGCUUCACUAGGAGUAACACGAUCUACUAAUACUAAUCGAAAUCGUAAAGAAAGCCUUUAAAGCUUCAGAGUUCCUAUUUAGGCACAAAUUGACAACGGAGACUUCGUUCGCUAAAACGAGCAUAACUCGAGCUACAGAACUCGGAAUGACACGAAACCGGCGUCCAAAUUUCGAAAAUUGAAAGAGCUACGCAAUGGCUCAGGUCAUAGAGACCCAAAAAUUAUUUUUGGACACGGUAUCCAAGCAAAUAGGUUUCGGUCACUAUGGAAAAUAGGGUUUUCGAACUUUUUCUUCGAUCUAAAUCAAUUCCUAGGUAUUCUUAGGCGAUAUCUAGGCCAGGGAAACUCUCAGAAAAAUUAUCGGGUCGAAAACUGUCGCAGGGGUAUUUUGGUCAAUAUUUUUAGCUCGGAAACUCAAAAUCAGAAUUUCGAAAAACAAAUUAGAUGGGCUCGAUCCUAACGACAUUUAUAACAACUAAUCCUACUAAAGCUAAGCUCAGUCGAGAGGUUUUGAUCCAAAAAGCGGAACCUCAGCAUAAAAAUGGGUUUUUGAGCAGAAUUGAAACUCGGCGGCCUUUCGGCGAGAUUCGGCAAAAUGUAAUCCGCUAAACAUGCUCAGGGCCACGUAGGGAAUAAGUUUAGACACUAAAAUCAAGUUAUUUGGACAGUUUUACAAAAAGCUCAAAACUUUGAGCACAGAAAAAACAUAGAAAAAAGCGACAGAAUUUACGAUCAGAGGUAAGGAAAAGCAUCAGUACCUCGAGGCCUACGCGUAGCAACGAACAGAACGACGAUCGGUCAAGAAUUUGCAAAGUGUAUAUAGGAAAUUGAAAACGUGAAGAUUUCUCCUCCUCCUCCCCUUGAAUCCUCGGCCGUGUGUGUGUGUUGUGAUAUUUUUUUUGUUUGUUUUUUUUUUCAUUUUCAAAGUGUAUAUAGGAAAUUGAAAACGUGAGAAAAAGAUUAUUUCGCGAUUCCGAUUUUUCCUGCUGAUUCCAAUGUAUUUUAGACACGAUAUUCUUCCCGAUGAAUCUUCUAAUUCUUCAAAGAGAUAUCAGUAUGAUUUUUGGUUUUCGAGGCUUGUUUUUUAAUGUUUACCGGCUUAAAAUGCACUUUAUGCACUUUUUGAUUUUGACCUCGGAUGUAGAAACUUCCUUCUGAAGAAAGAUUUGGAACGUCGAUUAGAGUGGGCGCACGCGUGUGAAAUCUUUAUUUGAAGCUCCGAACAGGAAAAGUCUUCAUCGUAGGUUAAUUUAAUAGCUCUAGAAAAACCAGGGAUUCAGUUUCGGCAAACCUCCCAGAAUUAGAAUCGGACGUUCGUACAUUCCAGGGUUUCGUAUCGAAACGCUUAACAUGGAAGGAUUCAGAGAAAUUCUAACAUUUCUCUGAAGAUUUUUGGAAUUAAUUUCCAUCGUGUCAUUAAGUGUAAAUUAGUCGUUUACUAACGUUUUCUUCUUCAUAAUACUAAUCCAAACAUUAAACGGAAGUCAAGUUCCUCUCACGCUUACCCAGAAUCCUAUGCGUGAGCUGGAAAUUAAUUAUUUAUUUAAUUCUAAAAUUUUGGGUCUUACAAUAUUACCCCCCAAAAAGAAAGUUUCGUCCUCGAAACUUAAGGCUCAGUGAAGAGUUCCGGAUACUGUUCCUUCAUCUUCUCUUCUAGUUCCCAAGUAGCAUCGCCCGUGACUUGUUUCCAAAUCACUUUUACCAGAGGAACCUGCUUGUUCCUCAACUGCUUGAUCCUACGUUCCUCAAUCCUCAUGGGCGCCACUUCAAAAGACAGGUUGUCUCUAAGCUGAAUGUCAUCUUCCUUGAUGAUGUGAGAGGGAUCAGGAAUAUACUUCCUCAAUUGUGACACGUGUAACACAUCAUGAAUCUUGGACAGAAACGGUGGCAACGCAAUCCGAUAAGCUACUUUACCGACUCGCUCGAUAAUCUGAUACGGUCCAAUGAACUUCGGUGUCAGCUUCCUCGACUUUAUCGCCCUUCCCACUCCGGUAGUUGGUGUCACGCGAAGGAACACAUGGUCUCCCGCCUCGAACUCCAGUUCUCUCCGACGUGUGUCAGCAUAACUCUUUUGUCGACUCUGUGACGUCCUCAUCUUCUCUUGUAUUUGUUUUACUUUCUCAGUAGUUUGUUGCACUAGUUCAGGUCCAACGAGAAGAUGUUCGCCAUCUUGAAACCAACAUAGAGGAGUUCUACAUCUCCUCCCAUACAAAGCCUCAUAAGGUGCCAUUCCAAUACUAGCAUGAAAACUGUAGUUGUAAGUAAACUCGAUCAACUGUAACAGUUCAUCCCAGCUUUCUUGACUAUCCAGAACGCAGGCUCGCAGCAAGUCUUCCAAUGACUGUAUCGUCCUCUCUGUCUGUCCAUCCGUCUGAGGGUGAUAGGCAGAGCUCAACCUCAACUUCGUCCCAAGCGCCUCGUGCAAGGCCUUCCAGAAAUGCGAAGUAAACUUCGGAUCUCUGUCAGAAACAAUACUCGAUGGUACUCCAUGAAGUCGUACAAUCUCAGCGACAUAUACUUUUGCAAGUGCCUCCACAUUGAACGUGGUCUUCACCGGUAUGAAAUGUGCUGACUUCGUCAGACGGUCCACAAUGACCCAAAUGGAAUCAAAUCUCUUCCUCGUAGCUGGCAAAGCUACCACGAAAUCCAUAGAGAUACUGUCCCACUUCCACUCUGGCACAUCAAGUGACUGUAACAUACCCGUAGGCUUUUGAUGUUCUAUCUUCGCCUUCUGACAUGUCAGACAUGCCGCCACAAACUCUGCUACAUUCUUUUUCAUUCCUGGCCACCAAAAAUUCAACUUUAGAUCUUGGUACAUCUUUGUCGAUCCCGGAUGAAUACUCAAUCUACUCUUGUGACCUUCGUCAAGAAUCAUCCUUCUCAACUCCAUGUCCAAAGGCACGCAGACACGUCCUUUGCAACGCAGAAUGUUGUCGGUCCCUACCUCGAAAUCCGGCGCUUUUCCCAAAAUGAUCAAGUUCUGUUUCUCGAUCAGCUCCUCAUCUAACAAUUGCUUCACCUUGAUCUCGUUCAGAAAAUCACUGGUGAUCGUCACCAUCCCAAAGCUCAAUUUUCCAGGUGUCACUUGCAUACCCAAACUGAGGUCGCGAAAAGUCUCGAUAAGUUCCAAUUCCUUAAUCAUCAGCGAUGAAACAUGAAUUGUCUGGCGACUCAGUGCGUCUGCUACGACAUUUGCUUUUCCUGGGUGGUACAGCAAAGUGAAGUCAUAGUCCUUGAUGAAUUCCAUCCAACGCCUUUGUCUCAUAUUCAGAUCCUUCUGAUCGAACAGGUACUUCAGGCUCUUGUGAUCACUAAAAACAGUGAAAGUGCUCCCAUAAAGAUAGUGCCUCCAAAUCUUGAGCGCAAAUACCACAGCCGCUAACUCCAAAUCAUGCGUAGGAUAGUUCCGUUCAUGUAUCUUCAAUUGCCUUGACGAAUAAGCCACAACCUUUCGGUGUUGCAUCAACACACAACCCAACCCUUGGUACGAAGCAUCGCAGUAAACCUCGUAGGGUUCCUUCUCUUGUGGUAAUGUCAGAACUGGUGCGGUCGUCAAACGCUCCUUCAUAUCUUGGAAACUCUGCUCGCAAUCCUCUGUCCAUGCAAAAGGUUGAUUCUUUCGAGUGAGUUUCGUCAAUGGUCCUGCAAUCUUAGCGAAGCCUUCAAUGAAUCGUCGGUAAUAGCCCGCUAAACCGAUGAAACUUCUAAUAUCUGUCACGGUCUUAGGACGCUCCCAUGCAAGUACCGCUUCAACUUUACCGGGAUCCACAGCAAUACCCUCCUUUGAGAUGACAUGUCCUAGAAAUUUCACUUCUUCCAACCAAAAUUCACACUUCGCCGCGUUAGCAUACAGUACCUUCUCCUGAAGAACUUGUAAUACUUGUCGCAGAUGCUCCUCGUGUUCUUCACGAUUCCUCGAGUAGAUCAAGAUGUCGUCGAUGAACACCACAACGAAGCGAUCCAAGAAUGGAUGAAAGAUCCUAUUCAUGUAAUCCAUGAAUACAGCUGGUGCAUUCGUAACUCCGAACGGCAUCACUAAGUACUCAUAGUGUCCAUAGUGUGUCCUAAACGUCGUCUUUUGGAUAUCCUCGUCUUUGACUCUGAUCUGGUGAUAUCCCGAUCUCAGGUCAAUCUUCGAGAAAAUAGCAGCACCCUUCAACUGAUCCAUCAAAUCGUCAAUCCUUGGCAACGGAUAACGGUUCUUUAUCGUGACUUUGUUCAACUGUCGAUAAUCCACGCAAAGUCGCGAUCUUCCGUCUUUCUUCUUCACAAGCAGUACUGGCGCUCCCCACGGAGAAACGCUAGGUCGAAUAAACCCUUUCUUGGUUAAAUCCUCAAGUUGACUCUUCAGCUCAGCCAGUUCUGCCGGUGCCAUACGGUAAGGUGCGAUUGAUAUAGGUCCAGUGCCUGGGACUAUAUCAAUGGUGAACUCCAUAUCUCUGACUGGAGGUAUUCCAGGUACGUCUUCGGGGAACACAUCCUCGAACUCUUGCACAACAGCAAUUCCUUGUAUUCCAUUCUCAUUAGCUUCCAUCAUGGUUGCAGACAAAAGGGAACUCAAAGCUCCUUUCCUAAAAGAAAGCUUUGAAAAGUACGAGUUCAGAAACUCGGCGAGUCCAGCAUCGGGAAAGAUAACUACCUUAUUGGCGCAAUCAAGAAGAACAUGAUGGUGGGACAACCAAUCCAUGCCUAUGAUCACAUCCAAUCCCUUGAGAGGUAAACAGAUUAAGUUUGCUACAAACUUCUUAUCUAGGUACAUCCAAGGAUAUUCCAAACAUGCAGUGUUAGUUACUAAGCUCUUAGAUGCAGGGGUAGACACUGUCAAGUCAAACGGUAACUUUGACACUUCUAGCUUUAACCUCGUCACACAAGCUAUAUCUAUAAAUGAAUGCGUAGCACCAGAAUCAAAUAGCGCGAUAAGGGAAUUACCCGCAAUCUCGCAGGUACUGCGGAUUAAACCAUCGUCUUCCUCAGCUUCAGUUCCACUGAUCGAGUAGACUCUUCCCCCAGCAGUAGGCCUCCUAGCCCCAGUAGUAUUCACAGCAGCCUCAACUUUAGGAGCCCUACACUCUAAAGCAGUGUGACCAGGCUUCUUGCAGUUCCAACAGAUCCUCAUGUUCUCAGGACAACGAUUUGCAAAAUUCCCCGUUUUGUUGCACUUGAAGCAAGUCACAUCCUCUAAACUCACUGCUAGAGGUCUCGGUGCAAUAGCAUUCCCACCCGUAGGAUAAAAAGAACCAGAAGCUGUCCCCCUACCCUGAGGGCGAACAUAUGGCUUCUUCUGAAAGUGCUUGCCCUUGUCAUUUCUUCCUUGGUUAGCCCUAGACAGACCUCCACUUCCUUGGUAAGGCUUGUUCAGACCUUGGAACUUGCCCCUUGCAUUAUCAAUAGCCUCAAUCCCCUUGGUUUUCUCCACCAGUACUUGGUAGCGAUUCAGCCCUAGCGGUUGCACCGCCCUCUGUAGCUCAUAACUCAGCCCAUCAAUGAAGCGCUCACACAUAUAGCCUUCAUCUAUCUGUCCUCUGAAGUAGCGGAAAUGUUUCGCCAACGACUUCAACUUAGAUGCAUACUCAGCUACAGUCAUGCCUCCUUGACGGAGUCUCAGAAAUUGUGCUUCCUUGGCGGCUCUAGCACUCUUAGGAAAGUACUUGUCCAGGAAAGCUCCACGGAAACACUCCCAAGUGAUGACUUGAUGGUCAGCCUCCAUCAUAGCCCUAGCCCCACGCCACCAAUACUCAGCUUCACCAGUCAGCAGGUAGGUCGCAUAAUCCACUUUCAUCUCAGUAGUGGUACGCUGAAAGGUGAAGAUCUUCUCCAACUUAUGGAGCCAUAAGUCAGCUUCUUCCAGAUCGAAGCCCCCAUAGAACUUCAGCGGAUCCUGACGCUUGAAAUCAUUCAGACCCCUGGUCUGAGCAGCAGCUAGUUCACGCUCCUCACGCUGAACACGGCGAGCAUUUUCUUCAGCCUGGUUUUGUGCAGCCACCAAAGCAGCAGUAGCAGCACGUUGAGCUUCAGCUUCUUCCCUUGCAGCAGUGUUAGUAACUUGCUGUGCCAUAAGGGUAGUCAGAUUAGCAAUAGCUUGCUCCAUCGGAUUCAUGUUGUCUAAACCUUGAGUCACGUCCAGUUGUGGAAACCUCCUGUUCCUGUUUUCAUGAACAGUCAAAGACCACAACAGAAACUCAGGUCAGAACAACACAAAGUUCUAUAAUAACUAACUAUGUAUAUACUUAUAUCAAAUGUAUAAUUAACGAUAACUAGCAUAAGGUUAUUCACCUACGAACAACCUUCAAGAAUAAUUUAUAUAAACAGUAAUCAAGCACACUCUUCCUCCGAUUGACACCUCAUCAAUCGGUCUCAGAGUUCAACCAUCUUAAGCAGACACUCUACCCAAAAGCUCUGAUUUUCUAGACUAAAGCUCUGAUACCACAAUUGUAACGCCCCAAUUUCUCAACUGAGGAGUCACAUUAGUAACCUAACAAAGUCUAAGGACUAUUUCGUAACCCUAAGAAAACACGAUAAUUUUUUUCCUUUUCAAAACAACCAAACACAGUUUAUACAUAUCAUAAUCUUAAUUAAACAACCCGUUCCCGACAUAAUAAUAAUAGUGUCUUACAUCAUCAUGAACAAGUUUCCAAAAUAAGUACGCUCACUUAGACAAGUGGCGAAUAUAAGGUUUAAACAACAAAUUUUUCAGAAGGAAAAGAAACUCAAACAUAGUCCUCCAAAAAGGGAGAAGCAACUGCUUCAUCCACCUCUAGUCGACCGCCCACGGUCACCAACUUGAACAGCUAAGCUUCAGCGGAAGGCUCUCCAUCGCCUAAUAGCGUUAAGCGCCCAAACAACAAAUAGCAAAUAGAAAGGGUUAACUCCAUGCAACUACCAUGUAUAAAAGAGAAAAUCAUGCUAUUCGAAUUUAAUUAUCUAGCAUGGUAAAUAACCUAGCAACCUAACUCAUAUCAUAUAUCAACAUCUUAACAUAGAUUAACUCAGAUAAUAAUAACCUCAACAAUGUAACAUCAAAUCAGAUAUCAAUAAAACAAUAAUUAUAAUUCAACAACAUAGGGUCAGGUGUUAGUUCCCUAUAAUGCAACUAUAUGCUGCUACCAAAAUGGAUCGAUCAGCAACGUCUCACAAGACGGGACGAUCACGUGGGACAAUCACCACCACACCGCCACUUAACGCCACUACGGACGGGACAAUCACGUGAGACAAUCACCACCACACUGCCACUUUAGGACAUCUCGUAAAAUGGGACGAUCACGUGGGACAAUCACCACCACACCGCCACUUUAUAACGCCUUAAAAGACGAGACAAUCACGUGGGACAAUCACCACCACAUUGCCACUUCAAGUUGAAGCCCUAAAUGUCGAGUUAGUCAACAACAAUCCUCAACCUCAGUAAUCACUCGAACAACAGUCUCAAAUCCAACAAUCAAUUCAAGGUAACCACAUGUUAUUCAUAACCUCAACGAACAUAAAUCAAUUCAAUGCAUACCAACUCAGUUCAAUGACAGAAACCAGUAAAUGGCCGAAGCCUCUCAGAAAAUGGAGACACACGUCUCAAUAAGUUCACUCGGCCGAAGCCUUCAGAAAACAUUUGGCACAAGCCUCAGAAACAGUCAACAUAAGCAAGCAUAAUAAUCAUAAUCAUCUGCCAAUCAAUAUAAACAUCUUCAUCUCAAACACAGGCAGUGCGAUAAAAGCAUGCAAGACUCAAAGACACUCUAAAACUGAGUUACCCUUACCUUCGUGAGUAGAAGUUGGGCAUGGAAGUUGUGAACCUAGAACAAGGAAACACAAUCAUCAACACAAGCUUCACUAGGAGUAACACGAUCUACUAAUACUAAUCGAAAUUGUAAAGAAAGCCUUUAAAGCUUCAGAGUUCCUAUUUAGGCACAAAUUGACAACGGAGACUUCGUUCGCUAAAACGAGCAUAACUCGAGCUACAGAACUCGGAAUGACACGAAACCGGCGCCCAAAUUUCGACAAUUGAAAGAGCUACGCAAUGGCUCAGGUCAUAGAGACCCAAAAAUUAUUUUUGGACACGGUAUCCAAGCAAAUAGGUUUCGGCCACUAUGGAAAAUAGGGUUUUCAAACUUUUUCUUCGAUCUAAGUCAAUUCCUAGGUAUUCUUAGGCGAUAUCUAGGCCAGGGAAGCUCUCAGAAAAAUUAUCGGGUCGAAAACUGUCGCAGGGGUAUUUUGGUCAAUAUUUUUAGCUCGGAAACUCAAAAUAAGAAUUUCGAAAAACAAAUUAGAUGGGCUCGAUCCUAACGACAUUUAUAACAACUAAUCCUACUAAAGCUAAGCUCAGUCGAGAGGUUUUGAUCCAAAAAGCGGAACCUCAGCAUAAAAAUGGGUUUUUAAGCAGAAUUGAAACUCGGCGGCCUUUCGGCGAGAUUCGGCAAAAUGUAAUCCGCUAAACAUGCUCAGGGCCACGUAGGGAAUAAGUUUAGACACUAAAAUCAAGUUAUUUGGACAGUUUUACAAAAAGCUCAAAACUUUGAGCACAGAAAAACAUAGAGAAAAGCGACAGAAUUUACGAUCAGAGGUAAGGAAAAACAUCAGUACCUCGAGGCCUACGCGUAGCAACGAACAGAACGACGAUCGGUCAAGAAUUUGCAAAAUCACUUUUCUCCUCCUCCUCCCCUUGAAUCCUCGGUUGUGUGUGUUGUGAUAUUUUUUUUGUUUGUUUUUUUUUUCAUUUUCAAAGUAUAUAUAGGAAAUUGAAAACGUGAGAAAAAGAUUAUUUCGCGAUUACGAUUUUUCCUACUGAUUCCAACGUAUUUUAGACACGAUAUUCUUCCCGCUGAAUCUUCUAAUUCUUCAAAGAGAUAUCAGUAUGAUUUUUGGUUUUCGAGGCUUGUUUUUUAAUGUUUACCGGCUUAAAAUGCACUUUAUGCACUUUUUGAUUUUGACCUCGGAUGCAGAAACUUCCUUAUGAAGAAAGAUUUGGAACGUCGAUUAGAGUGGGCGUACGCGUUUGAAAUCUUUAUUUGAAGCUCCGAACAGGAAAAGUCUUCAUCGUAGGUUAAUUUAAUAGCUCUAGAAAAACCAUGGAUUCAGUUUCGGCAAACCUCUCGGAAUUAGAAUCGGACGUUCGUACAUUCCAGGGUUUCGUAUCGAAACGCUUAACAUGGAAGGAUUCAGAGAAAUUCUAACAUUUCUCUGAAGAUUUUUGGAAUUAGUUUCCAUCAUGUCAUUAAGUGUAAAUUAGUCGUUUACUAACGUUUUCUUCUUCAUAAUACUAAUCCAAACAUUAAACGGAAGUCAAGUUCCUCUCACGCUUACCCAGAAUCCUAUGCGUGAGCUAGAAAUUAAUUAUUUAUUUAAUUCUAAAAUUUUGGGUCUUACUCUUGGCAAUCUUUACCAAAUGAGUAAUGAGGCGAUAGCCGACAUUCGGGAUCCUAAGGUUGCGUCUUUGAAUGCAGCUGGCCAUUUCUGGCUACUUCAACUUUGGAUGAAUGCGGUCUUCGAAUCAUUUCUUCCAGCCAAGAACCCUCCUCCUGUGGUGUCUAACACAAGGGUCGACGCUUUCAGGCUUGAAGCCCUUACUUCUCCUUAUGACGCUUCCACUUUUGAAGUUGAUUUUAAGAAGUAUUUCACCAUGUUUUUCGAGCUGAAACGUUUUCGCUCGAGCUUUGCACCGUAUCACAAACCUUCCUAUGGCCCUAGGUGGCUAAGGAAUUCUUACCCCAACCUUCCUGGCUCAGAGAACCUCUCUCAGCAUCAAAUCGAACUUUGGCAGACUAUAUUAUCUCCCAGGGUGUUGACUAUCAACUUUGCCAGUAAUGACUUCACUCUGUGUGGUUACAAUCCUCAGCUCGUGUCUCGACAAUUUGGGCUGAGCUAGGAUUUGCCCAAUACUUUGUUCGACAAAUCCCUCAUCCUCUAUCCUGGUACCGUCACCAAACGUAGUACCUUCGACACUACCAUUAGCUACUACAACGAGGAGGAGCUGCUUGGCCUUAGUCCUUUCAAUUUUACCCCAUCUUUUUACGUCACUCAGGCGUUUAAGGCGUGGUGGUCUGCUUAUUGGCAUGAUAUUUCGACGCCGAUUGAAGAUUGCUUCCAGCGCAUAACGAGUAUUUUUCUUUUGCAGAAGCAGGCCCCAAAGAAGACCAAAGGUAUGCAUACAUCUGAGAUCGACGCUUUUCAACAAUUCUUUGGUGUAGUAUACUUUCCGGGUCCUCGUCUUCAGGAAACUGUUGCCAAAGCAGCCCAAGUUCUAAGGCGAAUGUGGGAAGCUAAAGCCAAGAAAACUCGAUUGAGCAUUCCCUCUGAUGAGGAUGGUCUUUUGAUGACCCGGGUUUAUAUGAUGUUUUUAGGGUUUUUCCUUGUAGGUUUUGAGUAUUUUUCUUAUGUCUCAUGUAGUGUUUCAUGCAUUCUCAUGCAUUUUUAUCUUUUCUUGAGUCUUUGUUUUGUUUUGGUAAUUUUGUAGUUUUAUAGGGAGUUUUCUUGCAUUUUAAGUUAAGUUUAGGACUUGCAUGAUUUUCUUUUGUUUUAUGAAGGACCUCUUGUGCUAAUGAGCUCUUGGAGCUUCUAGAUUCUUCCUUGACUUGUUAGUUAGGUUUGGAGAGCAGAAACUGAAGGUAAUAGAAGGCCAAGAAGCAUGGAAUUGAAGGAGGACUUAAAGAGGAUUGAAAGAGGAGUUACAGAAGCCAAAGAGUCUUUUCCAAGCGAGCUGGAGCGCCUAGGCGUUGGCAGGCGCUGGGUAGGCGCCAAUUAGCUCCAUAGAGCAUGUUUUCAGGAUGGAAUUGGCGCUCAGGCGCUCUGAAUUGGCGCCUGAGCGCCUAGAACAGCCCAGCCUCGUUAAUUUUGCCUAUAAAUAGGAUUUUAGUCAUUUUCUUUGGAAAUCUUGGAUACUUUGUAAAAUUCAGAGGUAGAGGAUCAUCUAGGAGAGUGAGAGAGGGCUUCCAAGCUUGUAAUUCAGGUUCUUAGCCAAGCAUGGCUCCUGCCAUGCUUGGCUAAUCUCUCUUCUUUUACUUUGGUUUUCUUGUAAGACUUUUCCUUUUGAGUUAUAAUCUUAAGUUCUUUCCCACAUGUUCUUCUUUCCUUGAAUCCCAUAUCCAUGCUUUACGUUUCAAGUUAGAACAUGUGCUAGCUUUAUGCUUUUCUAUAAUAGAACGGAAGUUUGUUAUAGAUUAGGGACUUGUUAUGGGAUUACCUCUUCUAUACUUGCUACUAGGAAUAGAAGAAGGGUUGGGGUUUGUUGGCCUGAACUUUAUAAUCUUUAUGCUUCAAGCAAAUGUUUAAGUACACAAGGAAUUGGGCUUAUCUUUUGAUUUGAAAGAAUUAUCUAUGCGAGGCAUCGAUUGGUAGUUGCUUAGGCUAUAACAUCAAGGAGAGAUUCAUCAGAACAUGUGCUUAGAAUGAUGUGCUUGAUUUGAUUAGUUGAGCAAGAACCCAAAGUAAAUCACUCUUUCUUUUCAUUCUCUGUUUCAUUUCUGAAUUUAUAUUUUCUUUUUCCUUAUUACUACUUCGUCAUAUGUUUGCCUUAAUAAAACAAACCUUCAAACUCAAAGCUUGAACUGAAUCUAUUCACUCACAAUCCCUGUGGUUCGAUAUUUAAAACCGGGUGGAUUCCGUACACUUGCGGAUUUACCAACAUCUUUCUUUCAUUAUUCGAAAAACAGGCUUUAGGUUCCCACCACUGCCUAUUUGUAAGUAUGCUUUGGCUUUUCCAGUGGUGCUUCCUAAGUGGGUUGAUCAUGUAAGUAUAAAAAACUUUUACCAUAGCGCACUGCCCCCUCGGAAGCGGGUGACCUGGACCAAGUUUUACCUAUGGAAUUUCCCUCUCCAUGUGUCGGUCGAAAUCUUCAACCACAUAUCGAUAAGAACGCUUAUUGGUCAAGGUAAUCAUUUCGACCUGGCAUCUUUGCGAUACUUAUGGCUUAAUUUCCCUUGUUUUUCUUUUGUAGCUGAGCCAAUUCCGCGGCCGACCCCUCAAGCUUCUCCUCGGGUGACUUCUGCUACUAUCGAAGUUGAGGAUGAUGAUGAUGAUGUUGCUCUGGCUGAUAAGCUCAAGAUGCCGAAGGUAUUACUGAAAUCCGUGAAACUUUGAUUUUCAUUCGAUAUGUACACCUUUGUAAUCAUUUGCCUUUUGUUCCAGAGUCGAAAACGAGGGGCCACCCCUACCACUUUUGCAAGCCAAAAAAGGGCUAAAGGUGCUGGUGAACUUACUGUGGGAGAUCCUUCUCCGGCUAAGUCAGCUAGCCAGCGUGUGGAAAUGCAGCAGGGUGGUGAUCAAGGCGUUGAUUAGCAAGCUUCCAGCCCUCUUCUUCAGGGUACUACACCUAUUCCUGUCGAGAUGGCUCUAGCCAAGAAGACCUCCAGGAAAAGGUCUAGUCGUAAGUCUGGCAGUUCCUCUUCCCACCACUCCAAGAGUUCAACCAGUUCCAGUCCUCUCAAAGAAUCUGGUCCUAAGGUAAAUCAUUGUGAUUCACACCUUGUCUCCGUUCGCUUUCUUUUCUUCCCUCUCAAUCAUUUUUACUUUUACUCUUCAGAGGGUUGGCAUGUCUAAAAUGGCCGUACCUCGAGCCACAUGGUUUUCUUCUAAACCUCCACCAGUUGUCUUGUCUAGCUCUUCGAGCAGUUUAGAAUCCUCAAACUCGAGUUUGGACUCUAAUGAGUCAGACCCUGUGUGGGACAAAUUGACAUUCUAUUUUAACUCGAAACCAAUUGCUUGGCAACAUCCUGGUUGUGAGCCCUAUUAUACCAGAGAAUGUCGAGAUAACCUUUCUAAUUUUCCUCCGCAGGAUGCUCAGAACAUGCCUUCCCCUGCUCGUGAGGAGAAUGACCCACAUGUAGAGGUGUCGGGUGGUGAGGAUCAAGUGUCUCCAAUCAUUCAGCCUGAUCAGGUGAUUGGUGUUAUGCUCCCACCAAAGGCUGAUGUUCCGGCCUCAACUUUCUCUGAACCUUCUUCUCGACAGCUUCAAACUUCUCCCCAACAGCUUCAAUCUUCUCCUCAGCAACUUCAACAAGGUGCCAGGGUCGCUUUGCUUUCUCCUCAUGCUAAGGGAGGUUCAGCUUCUUCUAAGAUGGCUGCCUCUUCCCACACUUCUGGUGAGAGGCUUAGUGCCCUUUUAGUCGAGGAUCCUCUUUCCAUUUUUCAGAGCUUCUUCGAUGGCACUUUGGAUCUCGAGUCUCCGCCACGCCAAGCUGAAACUACUGAGACUGCUCAGUCUGGUGGAGUAGUUGAUGAUAGCCGGAUUGAGGAGGCUUUUGGUAAGUUAAAAAGAUUGGUUUUCGAUGCGGGCUUCAUCGACGGGAUCCGGGCCACUCCUCAAUUAGGCCAGGAAGUGAAAGAGCUGCUUGCCUUCUUAUUGAGCCAGCGACUUGACCCAAUUCAGGCAGAUGCCCUCGUCGAGCUUCAGACUCUCCUGGUCAAUAUCAUGGCCACGCUUGACAAGGCCCUUGCGGUGGAACAACUUAUUGAGACUAAAAAGGCACAAGUGGCUUCCAACACCAAUGGCCUAUUGCCCGCGAAAGACGAAAUUCUUAAGCUGACUGCUAGGAAAACUCUUAUAGCAGCUGAGUUGUCAAGUGUUGAUGCUCGACUGGAUGAGCUUCAAAGGGAGGUAGCCAGACUCGAGAAGUAGAAGGCAGUGUUGAUUGAAGAAGGCCCAGCUGUGAAUUCCCGGCUGAAUGCUCUAGCUGCCGAGUGCACGAAUGUGAUGUUAUCGACAUCUCAACUUUCUAAGGAGGUUGCAGCGGAGCAGCGUGUGAAGCAAAGCUUGGAUUCUAGGAUUGCUGCUGCCAGGGUUCAGCUUGAAGCCUUCAAGUCGAGGAUUUAGGUUUUGUAAUUGUUGUUUGUUGUAGUGGCCAUGGAUCUAUUGUGGCCUUUGUUUCCAACCUUGUAACAAUCAUUCCUGUAACCCUAUUUGACUUCUGAUCAAUGAGUGAAUUUGUAUUGGCGAUACUCGACAUGCUUUAUUUUCGAUUCACAUUUUAUUGUCGAUGUUUCAGUCUUUGCUAACUUAUUUCCUGCGUUGUAUUGUUGAGUUUCAUACCAUUUAACUUGGCAUCUACUCUACCUUUUCAUCUUCUAAAUCUCCUUGGAAACCGCAGUAAUUUAUAACGCCCUUUUAUCCCGUUCUUGUUCAACGACUUAAGAACUUCCUCCACUCGCGGUGGUGGCUGACGUGGUUUGCCGUGUUUGGCUGAUGCUUUGGUAACUGCAUGCUUGCAUUAAUGCGGUUGUUUGUUACAUCCCUGUUAUAAAUGGAGCCGUUUUUACUCGUCUUUCAAUCAAAAACUUCUCUUCUUUCCAUUCUCAUCUUUUUCCUACAACUGAAAACCUUCAUCCUUUGACUAUGGACAGCAGGCUCAUUCUUCGUCGUAUCAGAGACCUGGCUUUCCAGGAUAACCUUUUCCAGGGUCUGUAUGAAUCUUCUUCUUGCCUUGAUGAACUCUUAGGGCUCAUUGAUCAACUGCUUCACAGGCCCAUCAUUGCACGUAUUAGAAUUCCUCUUCAGGAGUUCCAGGGGUUACUCGUGGAAGCUAAGCCCCUAUUUGAAGAAUUCAGGGAGCUCUCAAUGAUGGUGUUCUUCCAGGAAUACCAAAUAGAUGAGUGGAAGGAGAAAUUCGACUUUCUCCAGGCCUCCUUGGACCAGCAAGAUCCGGAAGGUCUCGUUCGCUUAGCCGUCGAGAUAACUGCAGUUUCUUUUGGAGACCUAGCUGCUCGUCAAAAGAAGGCUCGGCUUGAGGGCCAGAUGGCGGCGCUGGUGGAUCGAUUAAUACCCAUGCAAGCCAUAUAUGAUGACUACAAAGCCAAUCUUCCGUUUUAGGCUUCUAGUUUGCUUGUAUUUUGCAUUUUGCCAUUCCUGUAAUGUUCUUUUUCAAUCAACGAACGCAAUUUGGCAAUUUCGACGCUUGUUUUUAUUCAAUUUUGAUUUCAUGCAACAUUGGCCUAUAUGCUUUUAGAUAUUUGCCAUUUAUUGUCAUUUGUCGAUUCCGACCUCCUAAUUCCUUGAUCAAAUAAGCGUUACUUAGAAGCACUUUCUCGACUGUGAAAGGGUCUUCCCAGUUUGGAGCCCACUUUCCGUAACGUUUAUCUUUUUUAUCGACUGGUAAGAUAACCUUCCAUACGUAAUCACCGGGCAUAAAAAAUUUAACUCUAACCUUUUUAUUAUAAGCUCUAGCAAUGCGAUCCUUUUGCCUGGUUAGGGUAUCCAAUGCCAAUAACCUUUCUUCGUCGAGAUCGACCAACUCAUCAAGCAUCAUAUUCCAAUAGUCUUCACUUGGGAGUUCUUCUUGUCUCUGAAUUCUGCAUGAUUGCAAAUAUACUUCUGCGGGUAGGACAGCUUCUUGGCCAUAAGCUAGUCGAAAUGGGGUUGUUCCUGUCGCUUCCCUUGGCGAAUUCCUGUAAGCCCACAGGACUUGGCUCAACGACUCAUGCCAGCUUUUUGGCUUUCGACCCACGUGCUUUUUGAUUAAGCUUAUUAGAAUUUUAUUGGCCGCUUCUACUUGGCCAUUCGCCUGAGCGUAAUAAGGGGUUGAGGUCAAGAGCUUGAUGCCCCAGGAUUCUGCAAAGGUUACCACUUUGCGUCCUACAAACACUGUGCCUUGAUCUGUCGUGAUUGACUCUGGUAACCCAAAUCGAUACACAAUGUGGUUCUGUAUAAAUUCAAUCACCGUUUCUUGAGUCACGUUCUGUAGUGGAAUGGCUUCGACCCAUUUAGUGAAAUAGUCGACUACCACAAUGAUAUAUCUGUGCUGCCUUGAUGAUGGUGGAUGAAUCUCGCCAAUUAAGUCUAUUGCCCAUCCCCUAAAAGGCCAUGGCUUGAUAAUAGAAUGCAAUUCGCUAGCUGGCACAUGUUGGAUUCCUGAAUGUUUCUGGCAAUCUUGGCAACCUUUUGCAUAUUCGAUGCAAUCUUUCAUGAUAGUUGGCCAAUACAGCCCUUGUCUAAACAGAAUCCACUUCAUCUUUGCCCCUGCUUGGUGAGCACCACACAGUCCAUCGUGAGCAGCUGAUACGGCUAUGAAUGCGUCAUCUUCGCUUAGACAUUUCAACAGUGUGUCGUUGACGUUCUUUUUGAACAAUUCAUUACCUAGGAUAGUGUAACUUAAAGCCCUAUACUUGACUUUUCUAUCAGUUGCCCCCACUGGAUUCUGCAAGUAUUCGACAAUUGGCUUUCUCCAAUCAUUGGGGGUCAGGUUAUCAAUAACCAUAAUGUCGAGAUCUAAAGGGCUCAGCUUUUCUUUGAUCUUAAUCAACUCGCUCAGUUUCAGUUUAUCUAUCAUGUAUUCGGAAGCAAUUUGUGCCAACUCGUUGGCUUCCUGGUUAUCUAUUCUAGGAACGUGACCUAUUCCAACCUCGUCAAAUCGAGCCAACAAAUUAUUCGCUUUUACAUAAUAUCUGGCUAAAUUCUCGCUCACACACUUGUAUUCUUUGGUGAGCUGCUUUACUACCAACUCAGAAUCUCCUUUCACGACAACAUUCUUUGCUCCAAAGGCUAGCAAGAUCUCGAGGCCUGAUAUUAACGCCUCAUACUCAACUUCAUUGUUUGAGCAAUUAUCCCUGAUCCUAAAUUUGAAUUUAGUGGGGAUGCCCUGCGGGGAUACUAUAAACAUUCCAAUUCCAGUUCCAUCUUUAUGACUGGAGCCGUCGAAAAAUAACUUCCAAGGUUGAAUGCCUACAUAAGUUAUGAUUUCUUUAGGCAAAGUAUGAUCUGCUAAGAAAUCAGCAACUGCUUGCCCCUUAAUUGCUUUUAAUGGUGCAUAAGUUAGUGAAUAUUCGGUUAGGGACAAAGCCCAUUUACCAAUUCGACUAUGCAAGAUAGGUUUGGAUAACAUGUGCUUUAUUAUAUCAUAAUGAGAAAAAACCAUUACAUUGAUUGGCUUUAUAUAAUAUUUUAGCUUUACACAAGAGAAGUACAAGCAUAAACACAAUUUCUCGAUCAUGGUGUAUCGAGUUUCUGCGCCAUUUAACACCCUACUCAAGUAAAAUAUGACCCUUUCGUUGCCAUCUUCAUCUUCUUGAGCCAGCAUGCUUCCAAUGGUUUCAUCUGUGGCAGAGAUAUACAGCUUCAUUGGCUUCCCCCUGAUGGGUAACUGCAAUUCCACCAGUUCUCGACUGAGUCCUGGCAUUUCAUCAUAAUCCCAAGCAAAACAGUCUUUGAAUUCUUUGAGUAAUUUCACCAUCCUGUCUUUUAACUCGGGGUCAAUAAGAGCACUGAUGUAUGUUGGCUUCUUCUCUGAGCCAUCACCCAAGUCCACUUCUUCCAAAGGGUCCUGUGCUUCCAUUUUCUUGGAAACGCCAAUCACUGGCUUCUCGAAACCCAAUGGGCUAUCAUCAUAGAUGCAAUCUAGCCUCAAAUUGCGGAGAUCUUCGAAUUCUUCGACGCUCUGCUUGUCUUCUUCCAAGCGCGUGUUAUCCUUAUUUGUUGUUGCCUCCUCCUGAGGUGUCAUUUUGACAGGCAGAAUUGAGACAUUAUCUUCAUUAAUAGCCAUUUCUUUGGCCAUUCUUUCGGCCUCUAAGGCCGUUCUUACUCUAUUUUCGGCUGCGUAAGCCGAAAUUCGAGCUAUGCUCGAAUCAAUCAUCUUUACUAUUGUUUUGCCACUCGGUAGUGGCAUCUUUUUCUUCAUCGCUGUGCCAUCCACUCAUGGCAUCAGGUUUGCAAGUUUCAUUGAGGUUUAACCCCCGGAUGGGAUCCAAUGUUACUGAGUACUCUGAGUAUGGAUUGAAAUAUUGAUUGACCACUGUGUCCAACGGAGCAAUUGUGGCUAAGCUUUUCUCAAAAUUCUUCUUACCAACGUAGCCUGUCUCUGCUAGAUAGUAGCUUUGAUCUGCUUGCACAUUUUCGACAACCCCAUCUGAUUUCCAAAUAGAUAUACGUUGGUGUAGAGUUGAGGGCACUGCUCCUACGCCGUGAAUCCAUUCUCUUCCCAGCAGCAAAUUGUAAUUGGCCUUUGAAGGGACCACAAUGAACAAUGUGGAGCGGGCUACCGUUCCUAUGGUUAUGUUCAGCAUGAUUGCCCCCAAAGAAGAGCUCGUCUUCCCUUCAUAAUCGGAAAGCACCAUAUCAUGGGGGAUCAGGUCUGCUUCAGUUUUGCCCAACUUUUUGAGCAUAAACUUGGGCAUCAGAUUGAUUGCAGCUCCUCCGUCGACAAGGACUUUGUUAACUCCUUUCUCUUCGACUUUGGCUCAAACGAAUAGUGGCUUUAAGUGGCUCUUCAUCUGUUCUGUUGGCCUUUGGAAAAUGGCCCUCUCAUCUUCGACAGACCCUUUUUGCAUCACGUAGUAACACAAAGGGUUAUCAUCUGGCUCUUCUUCGACAUAGUAGUCUUCCUAGCUCUCUGUGACCUCUGAGAUUCUGUCGAAUUCAGCAGGCAAGAUAGACACUAUGCAGAUGAUGUUGAGGUCUUCUCCAUCAGUGUCGUCGAAAUCUUCGAGCAUGUCUUCAUCCUCAUCUUCAGCCACAUCUUUCCCUUUUUCCUUGGCCGGGUUUGGUGGCACAGUUGUUCCCUGUUUGAUGGCUUGGUCCAGCUGGUUGAUAAUCGACGCCACGCUAGGUUCAUUGCUAGGGUUGUCUUUUGGCUUUAUGUCCCAUAGCGAACGGAACUUGCCGCCUCUUUCCCUUUCAGCUUUCCUUUUCCUCAAGAAAUGUCUGAACUGAGUUCUGGUCAUUUGCUCAGGAGCAUAAUAGUUCCCAGAGCCAUAGGAGUAGCUUCGUGACACGCGAGAGUUGUUGAUGUAAGAAGAUCCCUGGCCCAAGUCGAUUUUCUGCCACUUGUGGUGUUGUUUUGGCCUUGGAGGUGCUGGCCUAAACCAUUGGUUUUUUGGUAAUCCAGCAUCAGGGACAUAAGUCUUGUCCUUGCCUCUUAACUUCUGGCCUUCAUGGCCGUCGAGUUCUUGGCCUCUCUCAACCCACUCCUCGUGGGGAUAUUUCAGCCUUCUGGACACAGGCACUUUCUUCUGAUAAUGUUUUUUCAUUUCAGAAUCUUGGUAGGCUUUGGCUGCAGACUUGUCGAAGACGGCGCUGCAUCGAGGGCACAGCAUGACUUCUUUCUCGCCGUCUUUGCUCCGGGAUAGAAAUUCCACAAGAGUUUCUCCAGCCUUGGGGUAAACUUCAUCUAAGCUCACUUCUUUCUCGACCUCUGGUUCUUCGACAGCAAUGUUUCCCUCCUUUGCCUCCCCGAGUGUCAGGCCCAGAUCUAGCUUUUCAGAAAUGUCGACCAUGCCAAUGUAGAAAGGUUCCACAUAGUUAGCCUCAGCUACCUGCAACGGAUCAGAGUCAAUCUUCAUUUGGCUUUUGGAUUUUUCAUCAUACUUGAGUCUUCCUGAAUCCAAUGCCCCCUGCACAAGAUCCCUGAAACGAACACACUGUGAGGUACAAUGACCAAAAAAGUUGUGAUAUUUACAAUAUUUCUUCCCUUUCCUUUGUUCAAGAGAAGGAAGCUUUUGGUCUUUAGGGACCACAAGCAAACCAUCAGACACAAGUAUAUCAUAAAUUGCAUCACAUUUGGUCACAUCAAAAGUAUAAGUUUUCACAGCAGGAAUCGUGUUCUUGGGGUUUUCUUCCCCAAGUUUGUUUUCAUGUGGUUUCAAUGCUUUACAAACAUAAGGGUCGCCUGGCUGGAGCUCAGCCAAGUUGACGUCAUUUAAAUCGACGUCCGCAGGGACUUCUCGAUAAACACAUGGACUUUGACACACUGGAUCAGCGUCUAUGUACGCUACUUUUUCCUUCUUUGGCCACUUAGUAGUCUUGGCCCUUUCUUCAGACUUUUCAGCCUUUAGUAAUUCGAUAUGUCUCACUCUGUCUGCGAGUAAGGACAUAUCUCGAAUAUAUUGAGUAUCGAUCUUCUUUCUAAUAGAGUACUCUAGACCACCAGCGGCUAAGACAACUAGCUCAUGUUCAGGGACAUGAGUGAAACAUCGAGAUUUAAGCAUCCUAAACCUGUUUAGAUAAUCAUCAAUGGACUCUGCUGUCUUCCUUUUGACACUAGACAAAUCCUUCAAACUCACUUUGCACUCUCCCCUGAAGAAUUGUUCAUGGAAAAUUCUUUCCAAUUGGGCCCAUGUAUGGACCGACCUUGGAGCGAGGGUGGUAAACCAGGUAAACGCAUUCUUAGUUAAAGAACUUGGGAAGUAUUUCAUUUUCAAAUUUUCAUUGAUGGCUAAGUCCCCUGCUUCAAUCUGAUACCUGGCUAUAUGCUCUACAGCAGACUCUCCUGAGUCCCCAGAGAACUUGGUGAACUUGGGGACUUUCCAGCCUCGAGGAAGUUCAGAUUCGAGAACUUCUUCUGUAAAGGCUGAUACAAAAUGGGGCCUAUUAGCGAAACCUACGUUGAAACCAUGUUGGUUCAACAAUUGUUCCACUACAGCCGCAACAUUUUGUUGCCCCCCAGCGUUCUGGUGUCGAAUUCUUUCUAGCACACCAUCAGCGUGUUCUUCCCUGUUCACCAUGUACACAUUUUGCAAUGGCGGUUGCACCGCCUCGUUUCCCCUAAACAAAGGGUUUGCCCCCAUAUCUUGGUGUUGUGGCGCUUGAUAGCGCGCAGGAGCAGGGACGUGGUUAGGCAAUGGGAUGUGAUUAACCCCUGGUGCCGGUUGGAUUUCGACUGGUGCCCCCAAGGCUGUAGCCAAACGAUCCAUCUGACGUGACAAAUGCUGAUUAUUGGCAUUAUUAUUUUGGAGCACAGGGUUAAUUAUUUCCCCUAUUUGGCGAGAUAGCAUGUUAACCAUUUCAUGGUUACUAUCAUCUACUUGCUGCCUAAUGGCUUGGAGUGAACCAGUGUUCAUACCUGUAGACAAAUAAAUUUGUGAACUGGACCCAGGAACAAGGCAGAGGGACUAACUCGACUCCCUAAGUUCAGCAUUGUCCCAUUUGCCCCAAAGGGGGGUAUGCUAAAUGGGGUAACAUUUUCGGGGAACGUCGAAUACGUACCCUGUAUGCCCUGCAUUAUAGAUGUAGGCAUACCAUAAGGCAUGUCUCCCCUUGUAACUGUUGGAACAAUUUGUGCCUGCACUGAUGUAGAUACAGGCAUCUCUGCAACGGCAGAAAUUGCCACGUUCUGGGUUGGCAUAGUGGUGCCAAGCCCCAUCCCGGUAGAUACUUCGUCAUUGUUGUUACCACUACUUCCCCUGGGGCUGCUCUGAUUGCCCACAUUAGACCCUUGGGGAGAGGUUCUCCCUCGAUUGCUUGCCAUACUUACAGUCUUACCACUCCUCAGGUGCAUAUAACACGUAAACCACAAUCAAGGCAAGUAACAAACAACAAAUAGCAUGCAAUAAAUCAAACACACAAAAUACUUCUGUAAAACUUAGUUUUCACAAAAACGGUCCCACUGGGCGUGCCAAUUUGUUUACACUGGUUUCUGGUAAACAAAUAUCCUCUUAGUUCGACUAAAGGAAGUUUAGAUUUCAGGGUCCUUUUGAGAAAACGCUUUGCCAAAGUGUAGUGUGUGAGUGGACGUUUUUCGACAACAACGAGUGAUUCAAGUAAAACUGGAUUUCAUUAAACACGGAUCAAUUACAAGAAAGUCAAGUAAAAACAAAACGAAAUAAAAGUGACAGGAGACGUAGAUUUCGACAGGAAACUACACAAAGGAACUGGAAAUUGACAAGCUUAAUGAAAGAAAACUAAAAAUCUGGUUCGGCAACGUACUCCUCCAUCAUCACAUCUUGCUCCUUGAGUCUCAUUGAUGCGGACAUUAGAGCUUUUUGGGUGAGUUUUUCAGAGUUGAGUUGGGAACCCUCUCUCUGACUUGAUUUCUCCUAUUUAUAGAGCAUGUCCUUGGCGGUUUUCUUCUUCCCCUUGGAUGGAUUAGUGGGUCUAACCCCCUCUUCCCACGAUCUGGAGUUGGUUUUGGAAGUCCUUUGUGCAGUGGGGGAGAUCGUGUGCCUCAACUGCUUUAACCGCUUCUGGGCCACGUAUUCGACCAAUCGUGGUGAGAAUCUGACUUGGUCAAUGCUGCACGUGUUACAUGUGCCCCUGUUUAGCACUAGUCCCUAUUGUCAAAUUCGGCUGCCUCCUUGACUUGGUGCAUUUUCCUUUUCCUUUCUUCAGUCCGAAUUCGACUACCUUGUGUGUUUUGGGCCGAACGCGUUUUUAUCUCUUUUUGGGCCAAAAUAUUGGGCCAACAGUAGUAAAGGGAGGUACAUGAAUCAAUUCUUAACAGAUACAAUUUAUAUUUUCAAUGUAAAAAAAAAAGUGUAAAAUAACAACAUUCAAACAUAACAGUCAAAUAAGUAAAAGAAUAUGUACCAAUCAAUCACAUGUCAUAUAUAGCAUCUCUCGAACGUGGCAAAGUAGCGUUGUGUGUAUUUAAUUUCACUUCUAGAAAUUACAUAAUCAUAAAAUCAAAGGUGAAUCACUAUUAUAAUGUGUGGUUUUUGAAAUAAUGUGCUCUGCACUGUAUGUUAGAUGCACUAAUGCACAACUAAAUACGGUGGUAAUUAGCCUCUAUUCUUCUCUCUUCCUCCCCCCUCACAUUUAUUGGUAGCACUGAUAAGUGCAAUUUUUACGUGUAUUUGUAUAUUAUUUUAAGCACUUAUUUGACUUAUAAGUUUGAAUUAUGGUUUAAUUGCACUUUUGGUCCCCCAACUAUUACCUUCCUGCGAAAAUCGUCCCCAAACUUCAAAAUUAGCAAAACACGUCCUCCAACUAUACACCCGGUUGCAAAAUUGGUUUUCCGUUAACUUCCGUCCAAAACUUAACAUAUUGCUGGAAAAUAAAAUAAAAAAUCACCAUCGAUUCUAUCCCAUCCUUGUCCCUUUUCCUCCCUCUGUCUCUGUCGUCCCCUCUUUCACCUGCAACCUACCCAUGAAACCCAUCCCCACCCAAAACCCAUCGCAACCCACCGCACCUCACCUGCAACCCAACCCCAUCCCCACCGUCACCCGCAACCCACCCCUGAAACCUCACCCGCAACCCACCCCUGAAACCUACCCCUCACAAAGGCACCAAUCUCGCUACCAGCCCAACGAUUCAGAUAUGAGAUUUUGCAGGUGAUGAGGGUGAGGUUUGAAUCUCAAAAACCCCAAAUCCAUACCGAACGAAAACCCCAACUUCCAUAAGGAGAAGGCGAGCUCAGAUCGAAAUCGAAGGAAGAAGGCGAGUUGAUGGUGGAAAGCGGUCAGUGAUGGCGGCGAAACAGGAGCUUGGAAAACGCCGCCAUCACCGGCAUAACAGGAGCUUGGCGGUGUAACGAAGAAGAAGAGAGCAUGGCCCAAUUGAAGAAGUUGGAACAGAAAGAAGAAGGUGAUGCUGGAACAGGAAGAAGAAGAAUUUUUCUUUUAUUUUUUAAUUCAUUUUUAACGGAAUAUUCUGUUAGUUUUUUGACGGAAGUUAACGGAAAACCAAUUUUGCAACCGGGUGUAUAGUUGGAGGACGUGUUUUGCUAAUUUUGAAGUUUGGGGACGAUUUUCGCAGGAAGGCAAUAGUUGGGGGACCAAAAGUGCAAUUAAGCCUUGAAUUAUUCAUCAUUUUAACACUCAAAGUAUUUAGUUUAGUAAAAUACUUAGUUCUAGCCUAAAAAUAGUGAAAAUGUUAUUUAUUCCAUGUGUUUAAGUUGGACUUUUGAUACAAGAAAGAAAUUCAUGAAAACCCAAGUUUAAAGUGAAAAUUGUAUUUUUAGAGAUGCUGAGCACCCAUAAAGGGGCGCUGAGCGCCCAAGGCUGCUGGAAAACCUUGUGCUGAAGAAAAGUGUGGCGCUGAGCGGCCUCUGAAGGGCGCUUAAACACCUAUAAAAGGCCAAAAAUUAGUUUUUUGAAGUAUCUCUUCAUAUUUCUUCGAAAUUCCUCCCAUUUUGGCACAAAAAUAGAGCAAGGGAGGAUGGGUAUCAUGGAGGAUGUGUCAUUGGGCUAGGAUUGACGAAGUGGAGCUCCGAACGUGGUGGCGACAGUGAGAAGACCGCGACAACUUCUCGCCGUUGAUUUAUCGUCGUUCUUUUGGGUUCAUCUCUUUCUCUCAUAUCCUUUGUAUAUGUUCUUUUCUAUUUUUGUAUUUAGGAUGUUAUAACUUCAUGCUUUGAUUGUUGUAAGCUUUUUCAUCAAUGAAAAUGAUAAUCUUUCAUGUAUUGUGUUUGUCUUUUCACUUUAUGCUUAUAACUAAUCAAUUGAUUAUCAAAAGAGUUUCACUAAUUCAUAGAUAGAUUGGGAGAUUGUUGUGAGUUUGUGUAUGCUUAGUUCAAUGAAAGUGUCAUAUGUCUUAGGUUACAACACCAUUGUUAAAGUUUCGUUUUUUGUGCUUCAAGUAUCGAUUGAUCCAUGUUAGAAUUUAGGGGACUAGCAUUAGAUCGAGAGAUUGGUGUGGGUUCGGUCCAAGAGAGAAACUUCUUAGUGCAUCAAUUGUCCUAGGGUGAGAAUAUCUUGGGUAGGAACAAUAGUGAAACUCUACGUGACAGGUGGAGUUAUGAGUUAUAAUAGAAGUUUCCGGGUUAGAACGAAGAUUCGCAAGCCUAUGAUACCUUGUCUUAGGAUAGAUUGGUCAUUGAGAAUGUCUUUGAGAGAGAACUUGAGUUAUAUUAUUCAUUUUAGAUUUUAUAGAUGGUAAGAGAUUACGUCUAGGAAUUCCAACUGAUAGAUUCACCUAAGCUAGAGAUAGUUAGGUGGAUAGUUCUCGGCAUUAGAAGUGAAAUGAAUCAUUACAUAAGUGUUUGAGUUGAGAACAAUCAAAGGAUUAGGUGACGACAUUUCUAAAUAUGUUUUAUUCUUUAUCUCAGUAAACCUUCUUUUAUUGUUUUCUUUUAUAUUCAAAAACUACAAAAAUAAUUUAUCAAACAUCUUUUUAUCCACUCAAAUCAAUAUUUAGCUUGCAGAACCGAUAUUCACACAAUCUUUGAGGACGAUAAACUUGUAUUUGCUUUACUAUGAUUGAAUUAUAAAUGUUUAGUUCCAAAGCAUUACAAAAAAUGAGGAAAAAACUUUUAUCAAGCAGUUUAUAUAUUUUCUACAUCCAUGGGCAAAAUUUCAGUUCUAAGGUAGUGCAUAUGGUACUGAUGUUCCAGUAGAAAAAUGAUUUGAUUGAAUCAAACAAAAGUAAAAAUGAAAAUUGAGAAGCUGAAACUAAUCCGAGCAAACUUUCAUUUGUAUUAAUUCAUGUGGACCUCCUCGACAAAGAUAGGAAAGAUAAUUACAAAGAAUAAUAACAAUAAUUUGUCCUUGUGCUAUCACGCUCACUCUCAAAAUUUGUACAUCAAUUAAUGUUUGAAGCCAAGGUAGUGAGGAACAUGAAGAGCCUUGAUCCAAUCAAGGCCAGAUCGAGGUCCAGCCUUAAGGAACUCACCGGCUGUGAAUUGGGUAGCCUCAGCCCUGCUAAUGACACCACGGUAACCCUUCCACUUGAUCCUUCCUGCAGUGUUGGCACCGGGUCCAGUGUUGGCAUGCUCAGCAUAGUACAAGGUGUCAAGGGCAAAGCUUCCAGCCCAUGGGAACCAUCCCUCUGGAUGAAUGAAGUCACCCAAAGUAGAUUCCAUCACCACGGUCCUUGAGUACUCCUUCCAUGGCCUUCCGAGGUAAGACUUGAUCUUGAACCUCACAGGGAACAAUGCGGCUUCUGGGACAAUCUCACAAUCUUGGAUCACAAUACCUGUGUCCAGGAGCGACGAAGCAAUAGAAAAUAAGUAAGGUUGACAGACUAUAAAUAUUAAUUUACUAAAAAAAUGUUUUGUAGUAGUUAGUUAUGUCCUUACCUGUGGGCAUGUUCUUUGUUGGUGUACCGUCUGCGGUCACAGUGUUGAACUGGUUGUCAUUGGGCUUCCUCACGACGAUGAUGGAGUGUUGGAUCAAGGUGGGGGAGGUUCCAAAGAUAAAGUCAAUGGUACCGGAGAUGACACAGUUGCGGUAGAAUUGCCUGUUGGUCUGAACGUACAAGGUGUCUUGGUAACCCAAGAUGUGGCAGCCCACGAAAGCUGACUGAUCUCCUUGGUUUCUCAAUGCCACAGCUUGGUGACCGUUGGGACCGGCGGUGUUCUCGAAGGUAAUGGCCUUGGCAAUGAAUCCAGGUGCCUGGUUGGCUGCAUGCAUACAUGUAGAGAUAAAUUAGUGAAUCAUAAUUAUAUGAAAAAUGAUUCAUAGACAUAUGCAUACUAAAGUCAUCAGAAAUAAUGAAAUGUGAUCAGAAGGAAGCGGUAAGUUACCGAAGGUGGCAGUUUGCAUGGUCUUCACACCAUCAGCAAAGUUCUUGCGACCGGUGAUGAUGGUCUUUGUAGGGCCAUCACCGUACAUGAGAAUGUUAGCAGCGCUCUUGGGAACAGUGAUGUACUCAUUAUACACACCAGCCUUAACAUAAAUAACAUAUCUUCCCUUAAAUCCCUUGGGGUAUGAGGCAAUAGCAGCUUCGACGCUCUUGAAUUGACCAGAACCAUCCUUGGCAACCACGACGUUAGGCUUAACACGUGACCUCCACCCUCUUCUCUGAAGCCCAGACAAAAGCUUGCGGUCAGAAGCAGAGAACCAUGAAGGGUACCCUUCAUUGUCAACAUCCUCACUGAGAAGACGACGAGAAGCAGGUUUGAGAUCCAACUUCAAGUUGAACUGCUCAAGAAUUUUGGUCAUGCUAGUGACAAUGUCAAGGGUGAUGGCGGUGAUCCUCUGAACAUGGUCCAUGCUCUCGGUAUGGAGUUGCUCCUUGAUCUGCUUCUCACCGUCCUUGUCAUUGUCAAAACCUUCCAUGCAUGCUUGUUGGUACGAGAUAACAGCGCCCAACCAAUUCCUGAAAUCGGGGAUCUGGUUGUGCACGCCUUGGAUGUUGUUGUCGCGAACCAGGGUCGUGGAAAGGUCAAGACUUUGCAUGGCGGAUUGCAAGAGGUCCUUGCAAUCGUCAAGGGCCAUCUUGAUACCGUGGUCCUUGUUCCCGUACUCGGUUGUGAGUCGGUCGCUCAUGUUGAAGGCUUUGAUGACGCUGUCACUGGCAGCUUUCACCGCAGUCGCGAUGUAAGCCUUUGGAUCGGCGGCAUCAACCCCUUUCACGGAGCUGAGGGUAUCAUGGCAGAGCUUCUGGUCAUCGGUGUUUUGGCAAAUGGUCCUGACAGACCUCUGUUGAGUUUGAACCUCAGGGUCUGCAUUAUUGUUAUGAACAGAGACGACAAUGCCAAUGGCAACUCCUACUACGAGGAUGAGAGAAACAGCGGAGAUAAUUAUUUUCCCCUUCAUUUUUUAUUUUUUUUUUACAAAAACUUCUCUUCUUUUGAUAAUGGUUGAAAAGAAGGUAAGUUUUUAUUUUUUCCUCCCUCUGUUUCGUUGGGGAGGCUUUAUUUUAUGGAGAUCCUGCUUAGUAAUGGAGAUGAAGUUGGGUUUUUAUAUGUGUGCUUCGAGGUUUUUCAACCAAGGAAAUAAAAGGAAAGUGUAUAUUUAGCAAUGUCUCGUUGUGGUCUUCGUGAAUGGCAGGCAUAGCAUUGUUGUUGGGUCUGAGUUUUCGGAAUGGAUUGAAACACAGUGCUAUUUUUCUAAAGUGUGGUGUUUUACAAAUUAUCUAGCAUUGGUGGUGUCUAAAGAUAGUUGAAGGAGACCAUUUUGAACCUCAAGUUGCCUAUGUUCUAGCAAAGCCACUGGGUUAUUUUUGUUCUGGCUUUGAAUGGCUUCGGAUCAUCACUCGCUUCUGUGUGUUUCAAAGUGGGAAUGUUUAUGAGUUAAUGCAAUUUUAAUUUUGCAAAAUACGUGUCUUUAACUUGUUACGCUUGUUAAUUUAUGAGGAGAUCAUAUUAACAAUAAGAAAUGUCUUUUGUUAAAGAUUUUAUAACUUCAUGCUUUCAUCAUGCCCAUAUAAACGUAACAUUAAAAUGAAAAUUGAGAAUCGGGGUGCCUAAAGCUAUUAUUUUAGUGCCUCCCCCUUGGGCUGAUUAUGCAUUUGACCCUCUAACAAAUAUCAUUUAGUGGUCCACUGUUGCACUAUUAUCCUAGUAGGCCAUAGGGGUGAACAUGGGCCGGGUAAAUCCAAUGAACCCGCCCAACCCAAUCCGAUCCAAUAGAAAAAAUGCGGGUUGGAUCGGGCAAUCGGGUUAGUCGGAUGAAUUUUACUACAACCCAACUAAGUUCGGAUCGGAUUUCAGAUUCAGUUCAAAUCCAUCCAACCCAACCCAUAAUCCAUACAUAUAAUAAUAAUUUUUAUAAUUUUACUCAUACUUUGAGUGCUAGUGUCGGAGUGAUGACUUUUUGAAACUUUGAGACUUAAGUAUUUGUAGUUAUUUGUCAUAUUUGAACUUAGAGUAUUUGUUCGUAGUUAUUUGUUACAUGUUUAUAUAUAGUUAUUUGGCAUGUUGGAGAAAUCUAAAUUCUAAGUGUCAUGGCAUGACAUUUAAUGUUGUUUUUCACUUUUUUGAUACUAUUUAUAUUAGAUUGUUUCAUGUCAUUUGGUAAUGAAGUUUUAUGUUUUCAUGAUAUUUGGCUAUAUGUCAUUUAUGUGGUAUUAUUUCUAUAAUUUUUUAUAUCUUUUUCAUGCUAUUUAGUAUUAUAACAUAUUUAGUAUUUUUUAUCUUUUUCUGUAUUUAUAAUAAUUUUUGCAAGAUUUUUUUAAUAUUUCAUAUAUAUUAUUAUUUUAAUAUAGUGACCCAAUAAAUCCAUCCAACCCAAUCCAAACUUCGUCGGGUUGGUUCGGAUCGGGUCCGAAGAAGAAAUUCGUGAAAUCCAACCCAACCCAACCCAGACAAUUUUGAUCGGUUCGGAUUUUAUUUUGACUAAAAUCCAUCCAACCCAACCCAUGUGCACCCCUAGUAGGCCCCAUCCUGGCAAGGCCUAAAUAAAUAGUAUAUGCUAAAAUGGGUUAUCAAUUUUUCUCUUCUACAUUUUUAUGAAAAGGCAUCAAAGUAUGAGAAAAAUUUGGGUACUCUAUUUGUUCAUUACACCAAAUAUUCAAUACUCUUGUAUAAAAUUAGUGCUAAUUUAAUUCAAAUAAUAUGAAUUACCAACUCUAUAUGUGUUACCAACCCUAAACCUAAACACUGUUUUGGUGGGCCCAAGCUGCCACAUAGGAUUUAAGCAACCCAAACAGAAUUCGCUCCAACCAUGAUUGCUUAUUUUACUUUUGAUUGGGUCUCACUGUACCUCAUAUAUUUGUAUUAUUUCAAGGUCAAGAGACUAUUCAACUUCAUGAAUGAUGAAGGGUGAAGGGUCUAGGGGUCGAACCCUGAGGAUAACUAAUUUACUAACAUUACUAAUAACUAACAUUUGUCUAUAAAAGAAUGAAUGAAAGAGAAAAUAUGAAUUUUUUAAUCAAAAAGGAAGAAGAAAAAAAAAAGCAAUCGUUGCUUAAAUAAGCAAUGUUGCAAAAGUUUAAGCAAUCAUAUUGCUCCAAAAUAAACAACGUUGCUUAAGUGUUCAAACUGGAUUAAGCAACCACCAUUGGAGAUGCUCUUAUAAAUAUUAUUCAAUGGUACACUGUUAUAUAAUUAAUCUAGUAGACCACAUACUGACAUAGCCUAAAUAAAUAUAUUCUAAAACGGGUUCUAAAUUAUAGGUAAAAUUUCUCGCACCCAUAAAUACCUGCGAGUUCAAAAAUGGAUUAACUUUUUCUUUACUCGCUUGCUAAUGGGGCCAAGGUCGACCCAAGACCCAUGUGACCCAAGCAAGGGCUUUAGACCCUAAUUAUUUUUUUAUUAAGUAGAAAAGACAUCUCAUUCAUAUGAUAAGUCCAAUACUAUGUUUGUAAAGAAGGUCUCAAAUAAAUAUUAAGGCCUCAAUUCAAAAAACAAAACUCAAUAGUCUCCAUGUAAGGGAAAAAAAAAAUCUACCCCACGUAAACAAAAAUUAAUAAAGAAACUUUUUAAAGUAAAAAAGUCUCCUUUAAAAUUUGUAUUAGACCCCAUUUAAAAUUGGGCCGGCCCCGACACUAAAUCUACUCCACCAAAUUUCUUUCACACUACCGAUUAUACCUUCUUUAGGCUUUUGAUGAUCUUGGUUUUUGAACUCCUUUACCAUUUGAAAGUGAGGUCACACUAGAAUGAGAGAUUGAUCUUACGACUAUCUAUCGGUUAUCAUUGUGGAAUAUCUAACUACUCAAGUGAAGCCGAUUUAUAGUGCUCUGUUCGUAAAACAGAGGAAAAACAGGGGAGUUUAAAAGGAAAAGUAGUUGGUGGGUGGGGUUAAGACUUAACACACAACGUUUUCGUUUAUUAUGGGAUGAGCCAGAAAAACACCAAAUGUUGUCAUUAACAGUGCGGUUGUGUUGCUUCACAAAUGGAUGCCAAUGAUGCCAGAAUCUUGCUGGGUUUUCCACCCAAUUCACAUCCAACUCCAUCCCAGGUUUUUUCUAAUUCUUUCAAUCGUGAUCGUUUGAUUCAUAAUUCGCUCCCUUCAACAACUCAAUUUCAGUUUUUGAGCAUGACCCUUUUUUCUAUUCCCUAAUUCUCAGUGGUUUGAUAAUUAAUUUCAUUUCAUUACUUAGUGAUAAUUGGGAAGUGAUCAACAUUUUUUUGUUAUCCUAGAGUAAUCUUGAUGAUAAUUUGGAAGUGAUAAUUGUGAAUUUUUUUCUCUUUUUGUUUAGGUCAAAUCAGCUUACAAAAAGAAAGUGUGGGAAUCUCACCCUGACCUAUUUCCAUCUCAUGAGAAGCCUCUUGCUGAGUCCAAGUUUAAACUGGUAAGCUGUUCAAUUAAUUUUGUUAUUCCAUUUUCUGUUCAAAUGAUGAAAUUUUUCAUAACCAUGAUUGUGAAUUGUGAUGUUGGGAUUGGGAACUUGAUAUGGAGUUGCACUAUGACAGUGAAACAUUAGUUGUAAGCUUAGUAUAUCAGUGUGUUUCACUAAAUCACACAUGACCAAUUGUGUAGUGUAUGAAGAUAAUGGUCAUUCAUCUGUAUUCCCCUCACCGCGUUCUUUCUCUCGGUAUCCGGAAGCAAUGCCGGUGACUGACUACGAAUUGGUUUUGUUGGGACAGCUAUUUUGGCCAUUGUCAUAUUUCCUGCUGUUUAAUGGAAGGAGUAAUUGAAAUUUUAUGUUUUGCUGCAGAUUUCUGAAGCUUACGCAUGUCUACUGCCCGGUAAUUCUCCAUAUCCUUUCAACUUGUGGAAUAAAUAUUUCAAAAUGUCUCGUGAUUUGAAAUCCUGCACAGACAGUUAAAUUUAUUGACGAAACUUAAUGUGGAAGCAUGGUUUUACAAACCAUCAUAAUAUGACCCAAUUUCAGUAUUGAAUAAUAAGUAGGUCUGAACUCCUAAUCCUACCUGUCAUGGAAAUUUCUUUUCUUAGAGCUUACUAAAAUUCACAAGGAUAUACUUAUAGCAUCAUUAGUUAGCCUGUGGUCAACUCAAAAUGAGUAUAUAUUUGGAGCAGGCGACUAGAUUAUGGGAAAAGAACUUUGCAAAAGCUCCCUUUCAUUGUUUUAGCUUGUGUCUUUGAUAUUCUGUUAGUGAUCAGCAUUUAUAGCCAUUUUCAUGCUCGAAUGUCUAGCGUAAAUUUGCAUAAAAAUGCAGUAACAGGUCUGAAGUAAGCAUGAUAUCACAUUUUUUCCUAUUUUUUCCAAUACUUUGCCCAUCCUCCCCGGCCUUUAAUUUGAAUGAAAUCUUUCGGUUGUUGUCCAAGUACUCUGGCAGUUGAACGUAUGUACCUCUUCCUUUUUGUAUAUGGUGGUGACAAAAUGCAUUAAUAACAUGCUUGGAUCAAAUCCUUUUUCUUCAUAAUCAAUUCUGAAACUCAGAAGCGAUCACAUAAGCUUUUGACCAGAAUUAAUUAUGGCUUCAUAAUCAAUUGAAGAACUCUAGAAGAAUCUCAAAACAUGCACCAAGUUGUCUAACUCUAGAGCGAUAAGUAAUGUCCCUAUAUGUUUACAAUUCCAAAGAACUCAUUGUGAAUUUUUAUAAUUCAGAAAUAAAAAAAGGCAUGAUCUUCUCUUUAAGCUGAUGGAACAAGGAAUGCUAAUUUCCCUCCCUUGAAAGGGCCCUGAGCUUGUCCUUCUGCUUAUAGGGUCUUAAUAAAAAAUAAGAAAUGCAUUUGUUUAUAUUUGUUUUUCCACCUCUAAGUACUAAUAUAUAGAAUCUGUAACACAGGUGGCAGAGAAGCUUCAAGUUCAGGUAAUUCUGAAUCCUCCUAUGUGUGAUCUAAAACUAAUCCUUCUUUUUUCAGUUUCCUUAUUUAAAUGAAGCCUGAUUGUUGUUCAGUUGAAUAUUCAAGAGUUGUGAGAACCGGAGUUCCAAGGGCUCAAGGAGGAAGAAAAAAUCAUGCUAUGAUUAAAGUGCCAUUCAUUUUCCUUAUUCUCGGAACAGUCACGCUUGGAGGGUUUAAUGCUUCAAGGUGUUUAACGACCGGUCUUGUGGCUGAUUCUUAUAAACUUGUGGUUUUCAUUUCACGGUGACAAUAACACCCUUUCUUCCACUGUCCCGCAGGGCUUACAGAAGGCAAAAGGAGGCAUACCCUUCACACAAUCCAUUUCUUCCUUGAUGACCUUACAAGUUGGAAUGAAGCUCGUAACUUCAUAUUGUGCCUAAUUGCCAAUUGGUGAAUACUAUGUUGUAUAUUUUUUGUAUUUUUCAAAAGUCGAAAGAUCAAAUUUCACAUUUAAAAGUUAGAAGUAAUAAAAAACGAUUUUAUGUUAAAUCAGAAAACUUACUUUGUGAAGUUUUCAUAUGUACUGUGGGGUUAACGUUUGAUUUUAACUUUAUCCACAGUGAUUUGAUGUAUAAUAUAAUAUUGACACUAAUUAACAUUAUUUCUUGACCUCAUUUUGAGCACGUUUCUGCUUUGGGCUUUUUCCCUUGUUCUUCAUUUUCUUUUCUUUUUUCUUUGGUGAGUUGGCUUAACGAUUAAUAUUGUUGCAGUUCUGUGUACUUAAAAUCAUUUUUGGAUGAGUCUAUAUCUUGAAGGCCAGUUUUCACGGAUUUCAAGAUUCUUUUGAGAGAACUAUCUCGAUACAAAUUCAACAGGUUGUAACUUGUAAUGAAGGAGUUAGAUUUUAGUAGUCUAUAUUGGAGAAGUGGGAGGUGUAUUGAAGGCCAAAAGUUUGGCUAAGUUUGCUUAAAUGAGCCAAUAUGAAUGCUUUAUUUGAGGUUGAAAUAGGACUUAUGGCUUCAGGGUUAGAUUGUUCAGGUGGAAUUUCAAUCCAAAACUUGGAAGGUUAAGGGGCUCAUACAAGCCUUGAUUUAAGAUUGUAAGGUUGGUACUUUCAAGAUAGACGAGAAAGUACGAGUCCUGACUUGCGACCAGCAAACACAAAAUCGCCAAGUAACAAGACUCUUAUGAGGAUUUGCAUUGAAUUUUCGAUCUAAGUUAUCAAGCAACAAGACAGUAAGGAGGGUCUGUGUUGGAUCCUGAAUCUAAGCUGUCAAGCAACAAGACUUUUAGGAGGAUUCGUGUUGGAUCCUUAAGUAAGCUAUCAAGCAACAAGAUGGUCAAGAGGAUUGUGUUGGAUCUUGAACUUAUCAAGCAACAAAACAACUAAGAGGAUUUGUGUUAGACUCUUCAAAAGGUCUGAUUCUGGUUGAAGACCUGAUAUUUUGAGCAUGGAGAAUGCCUAAGUUAUAAACACAAUUUGUGAGAACUCUGAUAGAGGAGUUUUAGUUGAUUUAAAAAAAUAUUUGAUGGAAUAACUUGAUUUUGCUCAAAUUUAGAGAAAUGGAAGACCGAAUCAAUUGAUUAAAGAUUAUUUUUAAUCGAUUAAAAGGAAUCAGAAAAGCACCAAACUUAUAACUCAUCAAGAACAAACAUAAGUAAUUCAACAAAACAUGCCUUUUAUCAUAAUCACAUACUAUAGAAUCUAGAUAGUAGAUUGUAGAGAAAUAAGGCAGCAUUAACUUAAUAAUCAAUCUUAGAAUAGAUUUGUAUUUGAUUGGAAUAUGCACUUAUUAUAAGAUUGAAGACACUAGAACAUGAAUGUUAGUAGAAAGUUUCAAUUACUCUGUCAGUUUUAAUUAACUUCUAUCAAUCUAGUUUCAGCCUGGCAUCAGCUGAGAAAAUAGCUAAAAGGGAAUAAUGACUACAAUUGUAACUCAAGAAUCAUCAGUCAAAGUUAUAAGAGGUCAAUUUGGAAAAAGACAGAACCUUCACUGCAUGGUUAAGCACCCCCUCUAUACAAGAAUGAUUCGAUUUACUAAUGAAUAAUUUUAACAUGAAGGAAACCAACUCUGCAAAAAGAAUUUGUAUGUUUCCUCCACUCUGCUUCUUUCUCCUUUGCUGUUUCCUCCUUGUUAAGAUCUUUCUCUGUUCUUUUUGGGCAGAAACAUUCAGACAAAAACUUUGAUUUGGUUCCUUUAAGCUCUUUGCCUCUAAAAGCUAGAUUGUUAAUAAGCUGGCUUUCUUCCAACAUCAGAUGUUAUAUGGCUUCUAAGCUAGAUUGCAGCUAAGCUGGUUUUCUUCCCAGAUGUGAUAUCCGCGAAGAGAUUAAAGGCGCUUCUUCAUCAAAAUGAGUAUCGGAAACUAAAUCAUUUUGUAAUGUCUCCUCAUUGCUGAUCACAUCAUCCUCUGCCUUUUUCUCCAUCUGUAACUCCUAUAUUUAUUCAAAAAGCAAAGCGCAAAAGUCAAACCAAUAAAUAUGCUUCCUUAAAAAAAAUGAAGGUUCACUAGCACCAACUGCAAUCAGACUUGAAUGAGUUGAAUCAAUCAUCAAUCACUAUGUCAGUAAGCAAAACUUAAUUACGCCCGCAGAAAGGAGAGGAGAAAGGUCAGAUUAGAUAAACAAUUAAUUAGUCUGCUAUAUCUGUAAGAAAUUAUCAAGCCAAAAAGAACCAUAUGAUUAGAGUUUGAAAUUUGGACAUGUCUUUUCACUCCCAAAAACAAAGGAUGUGUGAAGGCAUGAUGAAGUAGAACUUUACUCAAUUUCUUUAUUCAUAUGGUGGCUAGGUUAUAAAAUAAAACAGUACUCACAGUUACUGCAAUGAAUGUUUGGAUCAUUUGAUUAAAAUUCAUGGAAGAAAAGAUGGCUAAAGACCUAAAGUUAAGUAGUAAGUAACUAAUGUCAAAUUCACACAGAAUGGUGAUAAAUAGUACUAAAUUGUAAUGUAAUCCAAAUGGAAUGAAAUCGAAUGGCCAUUCUCAAUUCACAGUUUGGUAGCUUGUUGAAUGGAAAUGACUUUCCAAACCAUUCAAUUGUUUGAUACCUAGAAUUACAUGAGUAUUUAAAAGGAAUUACAGGAUCAGGUUGAAAAUAGAAUUGAAAUUUAGAAAUCAUAAAUUCAAUAAAAAAAUGGAUGAUAAUUAUCAUUGUAUGAAAUAAAUGAGGCUGUGUUAGAAAACAUUCCAUUCUUUUUUCUACAAACAUGGGAAUGUUUAUGGAAUAAAUCACAAAAUGGCAUCGCCUUUCUAGUAUAAAACACCACAUAAGAGAAUAGAGCCAAAGACACUUAAAUCAUGCAUGAAUGCUGAUCAAACUACAAAACAAAAACAAAAAAAAUUACUGAAAAGGCUGACCUUUGUUGAUUCAUCUUGGGUACUUUGAAGUUGAGAUGUGCGAGCAUCUUUGACCUUCAGGUAGUUGUAUAAAACAACGCCACUUAAAGCUGCUCAUUCAAAAAUAAUUUAUAUAAAGAGACACAUAAAGGAAAUCCAUGCAAUACAACAAAUUUAAACUACUAUAAUAGUAUAAUGUCUUUUCAUUAAAGAAGCAUAUACCAAUAGCAUAGCCAGUAAUAUUAAGCCCUGUAAUCUUUGACUCAGGAAAUAAGACAGUAGAAAGAGUGAUAAGUAACCAGUCUUUCAAAACUCCAGCCACUCGAAUAGUUACUGCCCCAGUUCUACCAAUCACUAAGAAAGUUGAAAGAUUCAACGCCAAAGCACAAAGCGCAUUUGAGAAAAAUAUCCAGAAGUUAAAUUGCAUAUGCGGAUCUUCCAUCUCAGGCUUCUCAAGGAUAUACCAUGGGAUAAAAAGAAAUACAAAGCUGCAUACAAUAAUGAGCGAAUGAUCAUUAUUCUUCCAGAUAAAUAAAGAUAUAAAUAAUAAAUUUGAAUUUCAUUGUACCCAUUGACAUUUUCAAUACACAGAUAUUUCAAUAUUUGUGCCUCUCCCUGCCCCAUUCCCUUUCUUGAGUCAAAAUAAGUGCAUUAUAAGCAUAUAAAAGGCUACCAAUGGUAUAUGCAGAACUAUAAAAGGGCUUUGAAAUGCAUAAGAAUAGAACUACCUGCAAGGUGCUAUGUAAUACAAGCUGGUAAUAGGAUUUAGUGUCAAGCCCUUCUUUUGAAGAAGAACUUGAGUUAAGACCAGCCUCAACGCUUCAGCAAUUAUUCCUGUGACCUGAUAAACUGUACCGAUUACAUUAAAAUGAAUUUCCCCGUAGGAGGAAAUUACAACUCCAACACUGACCAGCACCAUGUUCCAGAACACGUCACACCUUAAUUUCUCAGUUCCAAGAGUCACAGCCACCAGAAAUGUUGCCACAGGCACUGCAAAUAAAAAAUAAAUAACAAAAGGGAUGAUUUCUAUUAGGGAUUGUUAUUUUCCAAAAAUAUGGCAGCUGGAAGGAUGAUAAGCGAAAAUUAACUCACUCAGGGCUUUAAGCAUCUGGAUGAAGGCGACAGAAAUGAAUAAAUAGGCAGUGUUCCCAAACCUAAAAGGACAACAAAGUAAUUAAAUCAACAUUUUCAAUGCAACUAUGAAUUUGGGAAGGUAGUUUUAAAGUAAUUAAUAAAACUUCAAAGGCUAUGUGAUGUAAUACAGUAAUUAUUACUAAUACAACUUUAGCUCAAUUUUCUUUUUUUAUGAUAUUCUAUGGUGCAAUAUAAAAGUAUUCCAAUCCUUUCAAAUCCCGAUUCUUUCAAACAUAAUUUGUUGAUUUCAGGAUAACUAUUAUGAAAUCACGAGUUGUAUCAGCUAAUUUCCAACAAAAUGCAUAGGCAAUCAAGAAGAUGAAUAACAAAUAUACUGUAGCAUACACGUCUCAGGGUAUGUUAUCUAAAUCUUCUUAUUUCUUAUAUCUGCAAACAGAAAUUGAUGAACAUAUUUGUGCCAGAUGAUGUUUGUUUGAUCCAAGAAGUUUGUAAUGAAACCAUUUGUUUUAUCAGCAAACUUCCAACUAAACAGAGAAGGUAAUAGACAGAAUGAAUAGCAAAUACAAUAUAAAAUUCCAAUACAAUGUUAUUUGAAGUCUAGCAUAUCUACAAAUAAAAUUUACAUUCAUGAAUCUUGUGCUGCAACGUUUUUUUGCUUGGCACCACAAACCCGAGUAUGCACACACACACAAUGAAACAAAAUGCUCAAAACAUGAUUUGAUUAAGGAAGCAUAAACUUGAUGAUCAUAACUCGCUCAGACACUGUUUUAUUUUGUUUACAAAAGGGAACAGAAACAGUAGAGUAUCAACUUCACUAAGAUGCCAGGGAACUUUAGCACUGACUUUACAAACAUAUAAAUGAAUAUGGGGGGCUGUUUAAGGAACACAUAUUAGAAUUUAGAAAUGGGUUUGCUCAAAUUACAACUUUGGAUCAAUAAUGUCAAUUGCUUACCACAGACUUGCGGCAAAGAAGGCGCUUAUAGGGACCACACAAGUUGCAUAUCUGCAAAUCAUACUUUUUGUGAGAAGCGAGAUAUAAUAAGCGAAAUGUGAAACAGGAUAUCCAUGUAGAAUUCUUACAUAUGUAAUGUCAUCUUAAUAGGUGAUACAACCUGCAUCAAUUGAAAGAAGAUGAAAAAGAAAUAUCAUCCAGUUGAUUCAGCAAUACUUUUCAAGAAAAAGCUAAUGAAUAAUAAGGGAAUAGCAUUAAGGAGUCAACAACAUAAAGUCUAAAACUGGUGACAUUACAAACUCCAACAGUCUCAUACGGUCAUACCUUGAGAACCCGGAUAAGCACAAAGGCCACAGCGCCAGAAAAAGCCAUAUGGAUCAUAGUGAGUGUUAUUGGAAAUGGAAAGUUGAAAUACAAUGUGGAGAGGACCCACUGCAAUGCCCAUAUAAGGAAAGAGGGUGAGCAAAAUAUAAUUACAAGAUAAAUCACAAACGUAAACGAAAGAAUUAGUUGGUAUAUCUGUGAUCCCUUGCCUUGUUAUAGAGAAUAACCCCUGAUGAAAGUGAAAUGUAAACUAGAAGGUACAUGUAGGUGAGCAGAUGCUGCUUACUCAUUAUUAUGGCACCAAGUGCCAUAUCUACCCUGCAAAACACAAUGCAUGUGAAAGAUAUCUUAACAACCUAAGUUCAUUAAAACAGUCAUUGUUCAUCAAAUACCCACCCAGGUUUUGUUUCUUUGAUUGUCAUGUAUACUUGGAUCAAUUACUAACAUUUAACAAGUAUUCCCAAAAAUAAUCAAAGAAGGGAGUGAGUGAGUAUUACUUACAGGAAGCUCAAUACCAAUAAGCACAAUAAUUUAGUUAAAAAAAGUGUAAAGCAAGAAGUGAAGUGGUUUACUGAAAUUAGGAAAAGCACAGUCCACAAUAGAUUGAUAAAUUUGGAAGUAAUGUUACUGUUUGAUUCGUUGUUAAGACACAGUUUUGAUUCAAUAGUACUACAAUACAAUGUUGAAUGCACAUUAGAGAAAUAAAAUCGUUAUUAUUUUUUCCUAAAAAAUUGAAAUUACUGUGAGAAUGCUAGAUUCAGAGUGGGGAUUGAUGAGAAGAAAAGGAACGAAAAUGAUAUGAUAACAGAGACAGAAAGAAGAAGAAGAAGAAGGAGAUGUUACCGGAUACAGUAGUGAUCUGAAAAAGGGUUGGAAUGGCGAAUGCGAAUACGGAGGAGAUUGAUUAAUUGUAAGACCGGAACGCGGAAACAAACGAGAAAUCCGAGAUUUUGUCUUAGCCUUCGAAGGGAAAUAUUUUAUUUUAUUUAUCGGGGGAUGUCAUUAUGUUGGACUUGGACCGGUUUAAGAAUAAAGAAACACAAAUAUAUCAUAUGAUAUACUACAAGUGUAAGGUUUUUUUUUUUUUUUUGAAACUGGACAAGUGUUUAAGGUUAAUCUUCCCAUUUUUUCAUUUUACAUAUUUUAAGCAACUUAUUUUUUAUUUAAGGACAAGGGCAUUGCAAUGCUUGCAUGACCAGAUUUUUACCCAAAGCUUAAUCAGCUCGGCGGAGUAUACGUGACCUUUUAACAUCACUUUUGAAUUUUGAUCAUUCUAAAAUAUCUUCAAUCACUUUUGGUCAUUCUCCUUCUUCCUUUUCUCCUCCCACCCAACUUUCACACCUCCCGCCCAAUGACCACCCACCAUUCAGCCCCACCUGAGUCAACUCAAAAUGAGGGUGAUAUGGAGGUGGGGUGGGAGUGGGUAGUGGAUUGGGUUGGAGUUGAGAGACAAUUGUGGAGGUUUUGUUGUGGUUGUGGAGGUCGGGUGAGAGGAGGAGGAUGAAGAAGAGGAAAGAAAAGGAAAAAGACCAAAAGUGAUUGAAAAGGUUUUAGAAGGCUCAAAAGUGAUGUGAAAAGUACACGUGGACUCCCUUAAGCUGAGCCUACCACGUGGACUGAUAACCUGGUAAAAAUCUGACAUGUAAGUAUUGUAAAUCACUUGUCCUUAAUUAAAAUAAAAAAAGUUAUGGACUGAAAACUAUAAACUUUUUUCGAAGAGACCAAUUUAGAUGCGACCCUAUAUGUCAAAGACCUAAUACAUAUUUAACCAAGCUUAAUAUACUUGUAUCAAUAGUGCAAAUUGAGUAUUACAAAUUUAUUAAUUUAAAAAGGUAAAUUUAUUAAUUCAAAAAAAAGGUAAAUUCAUAAAUAUAUUUAAAUUAAAAACAACCCUUAAAAGUCAAAAAAAAUAUUAACCGCAUAGUUCAAAUUUGAUUGCCAUAAAUUUUUUAAUUAGAGUUGAAACCAUGUACUUAAAAAAAAAGACUUAAAUUAGUUUUUUGUCACUCAUUUUACUUUUGCAUUUGAUUUUAAUCUCUACCAUAUAUAUUUUUAUAGUUCAAGUCCCAUGUUUUGGUUUCAGUCCAUACUGUUAGUAUCCCACUGUGAAGUAGCUAACAAAAGGUCUUGUCACUAUUGUCACGUAUACAUAGUAACUAUAUAUGACCUACUUUUGCUGAUAUGUAUUAUGGAGGAAUUUACAGUACACAUAUAAAUGCUUGUGUAAGGUUACACAAGCUACUUUUGACAUGCAAUAGCAGGUUUAGCAGGUUUUAAAAAAAAAUCAAAAAACAUAUAUAUUAGUAAAUUAGUUAAUGAAGGAUUAGGUUAAAACAAUAAUUAUAAUAACAUUUAGGUUUAAUCCUUUCCAUCUUCCUCCCCUCCUCCACUGGCAGCAACCUCCUUCAUCUCUCCUCUAGUACUAGUACUGUGCUUGCACAUCUGAGCAGAUCUAGGGUUUUCUUCACCCACACAGCUCCAACAAACUCAACAAAUUUCACUACCGUCUUCUCCUUCACUCACACAGCUCAUUCAAAAUUGAGAAAUUUUUCCACAAAAUAAGAACGAUAGUGAUGCGAAGGUGCAGAAGAGAACCAGUGUUAUAAACUUCACCCCCAACCAGUGUUGGGGGUGGUGGUGGUGGUGGUGGUGUUGGGUGAGAGACAUGCAACCUCAGCCUCACCAAACCCAGAUUUAAAGCGCGCAUGUUAGUGGGUCGGUGGAAAAUCAGAUCUAAAGGGAGGUUUGGUUCGUGGGUCUGAAAAAUCAGAUCUGGAAGGUUGAACGGAGGGAGCGGUGGUGAGGGAGGAUGGUGCGGUGGGGAGAGAUCAGGAGAAGGAAGACAAUGGGUUGAACAAAGGUAGCAGUGGGGAGGGUGGAAAUCUGGAUCUUUGCCGCCGGCGGUGGUGGUGGUGGUGGUGGUGGUGUCUGGAGAAUGAAGAAGAUGGAUGAUGAAGAUGGGCUUGUAAUGGGUUCAAACUCAACCCAGAUCUAAAGUUGAAUUGAACUUGUGGAUUAAUUAAGAAUAAUUUUUUUUUAAAUUAAUUAAAGAUAAAUGUUUAAUUAAGAAAAUAUGGUUUUUGAUUUUUUUUUUUAAAAACCUACUAUAGUGGGUCAAAAGGCCAAUGUGCAACCAUACACAAGUUUUUACUUGUGCAUGUUAAAUUUUUCCAUGUAUUAUGUAGAUAUGUUAGCUAAACUGUUUUGAAAAAAGAAAAAAUCUCACUGGAAAAAAUCUCACUGCCAUCCAUGUGAAGCUUCUGAAGUUGAAUCGUGUGGAAGUGAGAGUUUUCUCGUGAAAAGAGCUAGUCCUCCAACUUGGCAUGUGGCAAUGGACAUGUGGCAAUGGUUACAUAAUUUUUUGUUAGCCACAUCAUCAGUUAACAAUAAGAUACUGGUGUGAACCUAAACCAAGUUUAUUUAUUUAUAAAUAUUAAAUAUAUAGAUUAAACUAAAAACUUAGACAGUCUGGACUAAAACCAAAUCUGACCGCAAAAUGGGUGAUUAUUUAAACCUUUAUCAUUUCAAUCAUUUGCUUUCAUUGAUUUGUUUAUUUUCAUAUUUAAAAAUCAUUAGAUUACAUUAAAAAGAUAAAUAAUGAUAACGCUAACUAAACAACAUUUUUAAUACAGAUAGAUAUAUUGAUAAUAUUAUUUCAUCGUUCACCAAAAAGUAGUAUUGUUUAAUAUGACAUUUCAAAAACAAAAUAUUGUUUAAUACUAUGUCUUUGGUAGCUUAAAGGACAAUUGAGAAGGAACAAGAGAGUAGGAUAUACAAUAAUAACAAACUUGGUUUGAGUAUGAGAUACCGCUAACUGAUGAGAAAUAUAUUUAAAGCUUUCCAGAGGAGCUUACCAAACAAGCAAUGAAUAUAGGUUCAAACAUGGAUUAGAGACAAAUUCUCCGUAAAUUCUCAUAUUUCUUCCAAGCCCACCUCAACCCUUUUAUAAUUGAAUUCUCACAUUUUAUUUGUUCUGAUUUCUUUUUUACAAGUUCAUAAGUCUGGAUUUUCAUAAUUUUCAUUUGGCAGGGGGCCCACCCAUGCAAGAACACCAAUACUUAUGGAGGUGAAAUUGAUGCAAAAAAGUCUUCAAUUUUUUGUGCAUUGCUGGUCUCAGACAUAUCAUCCAUGGAUCAAGGUUUGGCUUAAGCAAGGAAGUCGCUAUAUCAUUCAAGCAUAAACUGUAGUCCAGAACCCUCCUAACUCUCCCCUAACUUACAUGGACAGAAAACAAAAUCGCAGUGGGAACAACAGCUUCAACAUUGAAUGUGGCAACAAUAAUUUUUGUUUCAUUUUCAAAACAUUGGAACUGACGAAAAAUGAGAGACUCAUCUUAGUAAAGAAAAAAAUCACAUCAAAAUGUUUUCAUAAACAAAUUACAGAAUUAGGAGCCAUCAAGAACAGGCCUUUGGUCAUUCUAACUUAGCUUCCAGUGAAGAAAUAACCUGAUGACGUGCUAUUUGCUGUGAGUAUUCUCUUUUCUGUUUGUUGCAGUUUCUCCCAGAAGUUUCAAUUAAGAUGGCAAUAAUCCCAAUCCCACAUUGGGAAAAGGAAAAUAGAGCAAAGAACUAAUAAUAAAAAAAUAAGCAAGUAAAUCUCAAAGAACCUCAUGGAUUAUGAACAGAAUGAAUGCAGUGUAAACAAUGAGAUAUAUAACCAUGUCCGAGCAAUUUACCAUCAGCAUCUGAAGCAGUCACUUAUAUUUUGCUUGCAGACUUAUGCACAUCCUCACGACCUCACAGAUACAGAUAGAAAGAAACAUAGGUAGGGAUUAGUUUGGUGCGUCACCAGCAGGUCCAUGCCUUGCAUUCAACAAAGGCUGAAGAGCCUUGACUACAAUGCUCAUGUUUGGUCUGAAAUCAGCUUCAUAUUGCACGCACAGUGCAGCAACGGCAGCCAACUGUAAUUAAUCAAGUAUCAUGCUGUUAUAAAUUAAAAUUGGUCUCAAUUAUGUAAAUAGUCUAUCUCUAGGUCCUGGUUGCCGGUAACCCACAUAAAAGUGUUUCUACAUUUUAAGUAUUUUCUGACUCUUAUGAUACCUGCUGGCUUGAUCAUAAUUUCUGAAACUAAGACGAAACUAUAGAGACAGCCCUUCCAUUCCUAUUGUUAAACUAAUUAAAAAUUAUUCACUGAAUUUUCUCCAUAAAGGAAAUGAUUCAACAAAGUGUUAGGUUCAACUUUUAGUCUCAAGCAUAGCAUUACUAAUACACAAGAUAUAAGAAUUCUGCAAGUAUCUCUUGUAAGCUAUGUUAGAUUAGUUUGCUAAUCCAUAGCAAACAGUCUACAACACCUCGGCAAAGAAAAUGGCAUAAUAACCACAUAAAGGAAGAAAAAUAUACUAAGAAACAGUGAGCACCUUUGCAACAGCUUUGGGUGGGUAUUCUCCUCCUAGUCUUGCAUCUACACACUGUCUGACUUUAUCCUCACUUAGUUUUGGUGUAGCCUGAAACACAUCAAUUACUGUCAUCAGCUCGCUGGCCUGCAUUUUACAUUUCCUGACAACAUGAAAUUAGAUCACAAUAAUGAGGUUUGCAUUUACCCAAGUAACCAGGCUCUGCUGCCCACGUGGUAGUGUAUGAUCAACAGGCUUCCUUCCAGUCAAAAGUUCCAGAAGGACAACACCA